rnacentral:lncRNA from 1 species
GAGGAACUGUAAUUUUGAGAGUUGGGGUAAAAUACCCGACCGUAAAACACGCACCCCACUUCCAUCAAGAUUAAGAUACCUGAGAUCCUCCAGCCUUUCCAUUCCCUCGGGCAAAUCUUCAAGUCCAGUGUAACUGAGAUCCAACUUCUCCAAUGCCUUAAGCUUUGCUAAUGAUGGUACAUAACUCAGCUUUGCACACCAUCCCAGCAACAAUGCAGUGAGUCUCGUUAGAUGAGAAAUAGAAUCCGGCAACUUCUCUAUAUCUGUGUCGGAAAGAUCAAGAACCUUGAGUCCGAUGAGGUGCUGGAAAAAAUAAUCCUCGACCAAAUUCAAUUUGUAGUUUCUGCACAACAAUAAUGUUGAGAGACGGGGGCACGUUGGUGAAAAGCCUGUUGGAAUAUUCUCGAUUCUAUUUUCCAUGAGUGAAACUCUUAACAGAUCCUCUCUCCACAAUCUUACACCGGGUAAUUCUGUUAGCUGUGCACCUGCUUGAACCAUAGCCCCCCCACUUUCGUUCAAUAUUUUCGAAGCCAUAUCCCAAAUCAAAUCAUGCAUCUUGACAUAUCUGCAAUCUUCAUCGUCCCUGGAACCUUCUAACAAGCUGGCAUCUUCAAGCUGAUCAAGCAUGGUAUGGCCCUAUCAAAUCGUACAUGCCUUCGCAUUCCUUUGACUAUACCUCGUCAAAUCAUACUCUAUCAAGUCCUCUCUCAAGAUGAUCUUGCCUUUUGGAAAUAGUGUGAUAUGUAAGAAGCACUUUUGCAGUGCUGAAUAGGUCAACUGGGGAUAGCUAAAUUCCAACACUGGAAAUACUUUGGCUUCCAUCUCACCUGGUCCAUCUUCUAAUCUUCUCAGUUUUAGCAAUGCAUCUCUCCAAACAUAUUCAACAUACACUCCCUUCAUGCAUCGAGCCAUUGUCACGAUUCCAAGAGGCAAACCAGCACACUCCUUCACAAUAGACUCUGCGAUCUCAGGAUAGGGUGCACCACCAGGCCCUAAUCUGUAUUUGAACAGAUCCCAAGCCUCACCCUCAGAAAGAGGCUCCACUUUGAUUAUCCUUUGGCAAUCCAUUUUUCGACAUAUCUCCGGUGAUCUCGUUGUGAGAAUCAACUUCCACCCGUCUGUUCUAAGAGGUAUUCCCACUUCAUCAGGAAGAAAAUGAUCCCACAAAUUAUCAAGAAUUAAAAAACCUUUUUUUUUCACAUUCAACUCUGUCAACAGCUCCCCAGUUCUCUUUGGUGUGGUCUAUAUAAUCAUCAUACAAAGAUGUUCUGUAUUGUGUUUAACUAUCAGAUUUCCACUCUCUUUGGAAAUCAUAGCAGUUAGCGAGGAUGGUACAUCCUCCAUGAUAACUGUAACAUGUUCUACAUAUUAAUUAUCGUAUUUGUCACCAGCAAGAGUAAUAUUUUGGCUGCAAAUUAACAAGAGACUAUCAUAGGGAUUAUAUAAACAAGUUGAUGCAUGAAAAGACGAGUCUCUAUUUAUAGGUAGCCACUACAGGUAGCUUCGGAGACCACUAAUACAAGGUAAGUCUUGUUAGUAAUUCCACAACCUCUACAUUAGAAAUAAAUAAUCUGUAAAUAUUUACUUUCCUAUUGUAAUGACUACCUCAUAUGAAGAUAACUUACAAUGUAGUAAUUGAUUCCUAAUAGAAAGGAAAGUCUGGAAUCCUACCUGUGUAAGAAAUUCUGCUUGUAUAAGAAAUUCAACUUGUAGAAAUACAUGCAGAGAUCAAUAAUAAUAUAGUUCCAGCAGAUUCAAUCCUCUUUGUCUUUUAAAUUUUUUAUGGUAUCAGAGCUUGACAAAAAAUCCUGAUCCACUAUCACAUCCUAAAACUCUUCCAUUGAUGUUUCAAAGGCAAAUCUCUCAAGCCCUUACUUUAAUUUUAGUAAAAAAAAAAAAAUUUAAAUUUAGGCAAAACACCGUUUGAAACGCAAUGCCAAACGGUGGUGUCUUAGUGACAGUUUAUGCAUGCCUUGACAUGUCUUGCAGAGGAAACAGAAGCACCCUACUUUGCAUUCAGCUGGUUAAACGACAACAACACGUUCCAAACAGAAGAUGCUUCAACUAAACUGACCUAAGAGAGCUUAGACAAACAUCUCGAUAGACUUUGUUGAAGGCUUCAAAUGGUAAAUCUCGAUAGACCUAAGCAAUUUUUAUUCACAAAGAUAAAAUCUGGAAAGAACUAUUUAAGAUAUUAGGGGUGAAAUUGCUUUUGAGUUUAGCUUAUCACCCACAAACUGUUAGACAAUCAAAAAACAGGUUAGGUUUUUUUUUUUUUUUUUUUUUUUUUUGUGUUUCAGCACCUCGAUUUUGCUUACUGUAGCUCCUGUUGUUGCCCCUUUUUUUAUUUUAAUAUAGCUGGUUUUUUCAAACUUGGAUGCAAUUUUUAAUUUUUGCUUUUCCCAGGAUCGAAUUAGGUUGCUCGCUAUCUUGCACGCCCUUUCUUUUCCUAUGCUUGUUUUCCUGCAGAUUGGUUGUUUUGUAGCAACGGUAUUUCACCUCUUUUUGUUCGUCUCAACAAAAAGAAAAUAUAUAUUAAAAAAAUAUUUUUUAUAUAUUUUUUAAAAAUUAUUUUUAAUAUCGAUAUAUUAAAAAUUUGAUUGUUAUUAUUAAUUAUGAUGUCUUAUCACAUCAUUGGGGAGAGGUGAGUUUCCUUUUAGGUGACAUGUGGGAAAAAAAGUAACCAUGGACGAGAAAUGAGGUGCCUUGCUCUACAUAUAGAGAAUGAAUUUGGCGUGCGUUAGUGGGUGGUUUGUGACAUUGUUAAAACUUCAUAUGUUUAGAGGUUGGUAUUAGGUCAAGACCCAAAAAACAUGGUGGAAAACCCAUUUGGGCUUUGUCUGCAGGCAUUCAAGGUAGCAGGGGAAUCCAAUUAAUGAAUUGUUAUUGACUUAAUCUCUAUGUUCUUCAUGGCGGGAUUUUAGUUCAGAAGCUUUUUGUUAACUCAGAGUUGUCAUGUUCAAUAUAGAAGCGUUUGAACUGCUCAGGCACUUCAAAUGAAGAUGAAAGUGCGGAGGAAACUUCAUGGAUAGAUUGCAGGUAUGAAGACAUUUACAGCUGAGAAUUGAAGCUCGAGGGGAACUACUUGCAGUCAGUGUUGAAGAAAGCGCAAGAAACACUGCCUAAACACUUCAAAAGACAGGAGGCUCAAGCUUAAAGGAUGCUAGAUGUUAUCUAAUUGAUUUUUACUAGAGAUUUUCAGAUUGAUUCGCUUAAUGGAAGAACUUGCUUGCACUGUCCUGCUUAUUAUGGCCAUUUUGAUUACCUUCAAGCUACUCUUUCUGCUGCCAUCAAUCCAACCUGUUACUGUUUCUUGUUAACUAUAUCUUCAUUCUAAUUGAUUUCGCUUUCUCUUCUCUUCUGUUUUUUUUAUCAGAGUUAUCUCUGCAUGGACAAUGAACUUCGGGUGAGCCCAACAGGUUACAGCCAAGUAAACAACGAGAAUGCAUGCUCCCGCCAGCCUGCAAAAUCUAGCACAAAGCAAUCGUUUGGGUCAUAGUCUCCUUAGCCCACAGCCAAUCUCGAAAAGGAAUGAUUCUUUUAUUUAUUUUUUGUUUUUUGCAUUUAGGACUCUCAUUUCUUCGUAUGUUUACUUUGUUUAAUUUUUUAAUCAAAGCUAAAGCUCGAUUGACUUGAUCAUGAUGAUCGGAUUCACAGUCUAAAAGCCCUCAUCAACAUAAAUUAUCAUUUUAAAUUUGUUUUUUUUUAAUAUUUAUUUUUGUAUCAGAUUUUUUAUAUCUGUAGCCUUGCAUAAUUUUUUUUUUAAUUAUUAUUCAAUAAAUUUUAUGUGUGUUAGUUUCUAUUAUAAAUAUUAUGUUUUUUUUAUUACAAAUUUAUUUUGAUAAAGAGGUUCAUUAAACAUAAUUAGGUAAAUUAUCCGUGUUGCGAUAUUAGAUAUCCUGAUCUUUAUUUUUUGCUUGGUUUUCUCAAUUUUAUUUUUGUUUAUUGUUGAUGAAUCUUUUUUUCAUUGCUUUACACAAUUGGUUAUUGAUUUAUUUAAUUAGAUGCGUGCAUAAGCUUUUCAAUUAACAUCUAAGAGUUUUUUUUAGUGUAAAAAAACAUGUUGAAUAAUUUUGUAUAUUCAUUUUUUUAUAUUAUGUUUUGAUGUUUAAGAUUUGAUGCUUAUUCUUAUGAAUUUUUUUUUUAAUAUUUUUUCCCUUGAAUCUUUUAUAAAAGUUUUAUUGUUUUUAGUUUCACCCUUCAAUUCAAGUCUAUAGUGUAUUUUUUUUUAUAUGUCUUUGUUCUUUUGAUUUUUGUCAUUUUGUUAAUGUUUUUAUUUUUUUCAAUUCAACUCUCAAAUUUAAAAUUUAUUGUUGCCGUUUGAUUUAUUUUUUAUUGCAAUUUUAACACUCAUUAUUUUUAUUGUAUUUUCUUGAUUUUGAAUUUUUUCUGUGAUUUUAACCCUCACACUUUUUUCAUGUAUAGUGCUUUCGAUUUUAUAACCUGGGUCACGGUUUAAAAAGUCAACAAUAAUUGAUUUUUUUAUCUUUUUUUUUUAUUUCUCUUUCUACGCAAUUAUCUUAUUUUCAUUAGUUUUUUUUACUUUAUUAACAAAUAAGAUCAUUGAUAUAUUUUAAGAAUAUUAUGAAGAUAUAGUUCCGUAAUAUUGGCAAACUCAUCUUUUACAUUGAAUCGUUGUUUUUUUUUUUUUCCGUUUUAUUUGUUGUCGAUAUUUUAUUUUCUAAUGAUAUUAUUAAAUUAACCAAGUCAAUUGAACUCAUUAGAGCCAAUUACCUUAAGGCUUUAUUGUUCUUCACUUGUGCAACUAGGAUGUUUAUAAUAUGUUUUUUAAGAUUCUAAUAGCACCACCAUAAUUUAGAUGCACUUCUAAAUAAAGUACUCAAAUAUAAAAAAAUAUAGAGUUGUUAACUAAUGUUUUAAAUAAAGUAAAAAUACAUGUUUGACCUUAGAAAAUACAAAAACAUAUGGUAUGCAUCUGAGGAUUUUUUUUUUUCCUUUCACACAUCUUUUUUGUAAUUAUCAAGGUCAUGGGGGACAUUUAGGUAUUUUUAUAUUGAAAUUUUAAUUUUCUUUUAAAGAAAGUUGUUGGCAUGUGCUCAUUACGGGCUAAUGAGUUGUUGGCAUCUGUGUCAUUUGGAUGGUGUGUGUGGCACCUCCUGGUGGUCAAACCUGACUUUCCGACAUGUUUUUGGAGGUGCCACCAUGUCCUUCUUUAUGGUGUGGCGCGUGAUGGCAUAUGGUUGCCAACUCUUGGUGAAGACGUCUCGCUGGCAUGCGGCCUGCGCUGCUUCUCUUAGGGACAGAGGAGCUAAAAGGAUCAGGAGGCUUUGUUAAGUUUUCUCCUUCCCCUUCAAGCAUUUGGACAACAGUUUUCAUGGAAGGACGCUCUGCUGGGUUCCACUGAAUGCACCAUAGCCCCACAAUUGCUAGUUUCUUCGCAAUUUUAGCAUCUUCUUCUCCAUCGAUAUGAAACCGCAGGUCUUCUUCCUUUUCUAAGAGAUUAUAAAUCCAUUCCGGGAAGUAUAUCUGGUCGCCAUUUUCUGCUGUAUCAUCGACGUUCUUCCUUCCUCCAACCAUUUCCAACACUAACAUCCCAAAGCUGUAAACAUCUGAUUUAUAGGAAACAUUCCCGAAGUUCCUUGAGAACACUUCUGGGGCAAUGUAGCCAACAGUCCCCCUAGCAGUCGUCAUGGAAAUAGCACUUUUAUCCUUGGAACACAGCUUUGCCAUCCCAAAAUCGGCGAUUUUGGGAUUGAAUUCGUUGUCAAGCAGGAUAUUCUGUGGUUUGAUAUCAAAAUGGAGGAUUCUUUGAUCACACCCCUGGUGAAGAUAUUCAAUCCCCUUGGCUAUGCCUAGAGCAACACGAUUCAACCUUUCCCAGCCAAGGAAAUGGUUCCUUGAGUCUGCUGAGGUUAUGAACUUCUGUAAUGAACCAUUUGGCAAGUACUCAUAAACCAGAGCUCGUCUAAAUCCAUCAGCACAGAAACCGAUCAAGCGAACAACAUUGACAUGGUGGAUCCUUGCCAUUGUUCCCACUUCAUUGAUGAAUUCCUCCCCUUUUCCUAUGGAAUUAUUGAGGAGCUUCACAGCUACAGCAAUUUCAUUGGUUAGCUUUCCUUUGAACACGGUUCCAUAAGCUCCUUGGCCCAAUUCAUCACCGAAUUGAUUUGUGAUCCUCUUGAGGUCAGCGUAGGAGUACCUAGUGGGAUUCAGUGAUCUGUAAUCAUCCAAAAACAUAUCAACUCUCGCUUGAUAUUCUCUUUGUGUUUUAUCGUUGCUAUAGGCGCGGUAGAGUGCAGUAAUCACUAUAGCAAAAAGGAAGAAUCCUAAAAUCACACCUGCAUAUCAACAUUCUGAGUCAGGAAAUUCUGUUUUUUGGGACGUGAUGUAUUGAACCAAGUGUAAAAUUGAGAUGGAGAUUUGAGCUGACUACUAACCAGUAAUCAGUAGCUUUCGCCGCACAUCUGUAAGGGAUUGAAUACUUAUUAGCUUCUCCCUUUGAUGCAAAUGGUAAAAUCAUGAAAGCAACAAAAACGGAAAGAGUUUCUUUAUUAAUUUGAAAAACCCUUAUUGUUUUUUAUUUACGUAUUCAAAUGCCAAUUAUUAAUUUGAAAAAAGGAAGAAAGAUAGAAAAGCAUACCUUUAGUGUGCGGAAGAAUGCUGUAGCAUUCAGCUUCAGAAGAUCCACAAGUUGGAUUGGACCAAGACAUAGUAAGAACAUAAUUUUCUUCAAGCAAGAUACUAUAUGAAAUUCCAUAAAUGUUGUACAUCUUGGUACAAGAUAACAAAUCAGAGUAACUGAUGGGAAUACUUGAGUAAACGGCAUAAACUUCAUGCUUAAAAGUACUCAGACAUGGGAUUUUAUCCAUGUACGAAGGAGGCCUUUUCUCACUAGAAAGAGAACAAUUGAACAAGGUCCAACCAUACGGCAAAUCCUUCUGAAUUUGGAAGUGAGAAGCCCCUAAACUGAAGUUUAAACGUUGCCUUGGAAAGCAACCUUGAGGAUACCUUGCAUAAAUGAGUUGAUGUCCAUAGUCAAUUCCUUCGAUGUGGAGACUCAAUCCAGUUGGCAGAUUAAGCACUGUGCUGUUGUCCUCUGAGCAGGAUAGAUCAAACCCAGGAUAGCCACAGUCUGGUUGUUUGUCCUUGAUUCGGAAAGGAAAUCGGAUGUCAGGGCCACGGUUUCCACAUGAUCCUGUGCAGUUCAAGCUUGCUACAUGGCCUGCAAGGAAGACAAUGAAAAAGAAGAACAAACACGUAACCAUUUCUGAUGAAUAAUUCAUCAUCUCCACACUCCUCCUACGAUUUUAUCUGCAUGUGCUGAUAUAGUUUUGGCCUUUCAGAAAACUCAUGGAGUCCUUAGACGGGCGAUUCCUUUACAGAAUUUAUUUACUCCAUCGAUCUAGUGUGAUGCUCGUCCCUUUGACAUUCCUCCACUCACAAACAUGUGGGAUCCAAUUAUUCCGUUUUAUUUAGGGGUGAGCAUAAUUUCAAACGGUUUGGUUUGGAUAAAAAAAUAUAUAUAACAGAAGUUUUUUUAAAAAAAUAUUUAGUUCAAACGGUUUGGUUUGGAUAAAAAAAAUAUAUAACAGAACUAAUUUUUGUUAAUUGUUUUUUGAAUUGAAUCAAAUAAAAGAACCAAAUUAAUUGGUAUUUGUUUUUUUUUGUUUGAGUUAAUGGACCUUUAGUUGAGCAAUUUUGACAAGUUUCAGGGGCACUUGUUUACACCGCCUCAUUAUAUUUUAUAAAAAAAUAUAUUUUUUAAAAUUAAGUUUUUGUGUUUCUGAAUUGUUUUAAUAUGUUAAUAUUACAAAUAAAUUUUUAAAAAUAAAAAAAUUAUUUUGAUAUAUUUCUAAGUAAAAAAAACUUUAAAAAACAAUCACUACCACAAUGUCAAACACUACUUAAUUUAAUGAGUUUUGAGCUUAUAACAUACCUUUAGUUUCUAAUAAGUUUUUUUUAUUUGGUUUGGAUUAAUUUUUUAAAAAAGAUUUAAAAUUGAAACUCAAUUGAAACGUUUUUAAUUUUUCUAACAAAAAAAAAUUAAAAAUUCAAAAAAUUGUUUGGUUAAUUUUUGGUCAAUUUCUAUGAUUAAUGUUCUCAUCCCUAAUAAUAAUAAUCUCUCUAUUUACAUAGUAUUCACAUUGUAUAUGGUAAUAUGUUUAAUUUGGAAACCUAGAAUUAGCCAAAAAAAACUAGAUUCUAUCGUAUGAAUUUUAAUUACAUGAUCGCACUUAUGCCAAAAGACUGUUUUUUUUUUUUUUGUCAAAUUAGCAGAGUAAAUAUAAAAAUUCAAGGGAAUAACACCGUUUGAGAAAGAUUUAACAAAAUAAUUUACUUUCAACUUGUCACGCUUCAAAAGCAUGAUAUUUACUAAAUGUCGUUAUUCCAACACAUGGCAAGUAGUUGUCCUUUAGAAUAGCAACAUUUAGUAAAUGUUGUUAUUCUGAAGCAUGACAAUAUGAAACUCCAAUUUACAGGCUGACUGGUUUGAUUCAGUUAUAUUAAUCGGUUUAUUGUUUCACAUAAAACGAUAAUUUUAUAAUUUUGUUUCUUCCAAAUAUGUUUUAUGAGUUAAAAUAUAUAUCUCUAUCCAAUUUGUAGACUAAAAAAUCUCAAAACGUUAUUGUAAUUGGGCUUAUGAUAAUGAGUGAUUCUAGGUAGUCAGAUGUAAGUUUGACAUAACUAAAUAAGAAUCUACUCCAAACAAAUUACAUGGAUGAUUGUAUUUAUGGACUAGUAAGAUAUAUCUAGACCCAAGAGGAGGUCUAGUCAUGCAACAUUUAAUAAAUGUUGUGUUUUUAAAGCGCAAUAAGGUGAAGUGUGCUAUUUCAUAAAUUGUUUUUGCUUUUGUGUCAUUUCAUCAUUUAUUUUAAUUUGUGUGCUAAUUUCCUAAUUUAUCCUAUGCCAAAAAGGACUUGGAGUUGUGAUGGAUGCAAAAUUCUCAACAAAAAAUAACUAAGAAGCAUAUAAUUCAUCGUCAUUGACACGGGGUGGUUGAGGGGAAAAGUCUUGCUAUGUGAAACUUCGAGUGACGGACCAAUGUUUCCAUCAAUGACUUAAGUGUCUGAGAAGGAAACGAAAAUAAUGGGGCUUCGACAAGUCCUUUAACCUCUCAAGCAGUAUUUAAGUCCUGUUUGUCUACAUGGCCAACUCGCUAUCAGUCGAGAAGGGAGGAAAGUAAAGUAAAGGGCUCUUUCCUGUUGUCUUGCUCGAGAUACCGUGAACGAAACGGUCCAUAUUUUUGUCAUUAGACUAGAGGAGGUUACACGAGAUUGUAGCUCUCCUACGCGAAACUUCACAUGAGGACCCAUUCAUUUAUUUUAUGUUAUUGGGACAAUUGUAUAUUUACAAGACGCGGCACUAGAGUUGACUUGGUUAAAAGUCUGAGUUAAUAUAAUUUUUUAAAAAAUUAUAUUAUAUUUUUAUAUUUUUUAGAUUUGAUUUAUAUUAUUUUGAUUAUUUUUUAUUUUAUCUGAGAUAAUUUAUGAAAUUAUAUUUUUUUUUCAAUUUCAUUCUCAUUCAAAUUUUUAAUUUGUAAGAUUUGUUCCUCGUUAUUUUAAUAAACUUGAGAAAAAUAAAAUAUUAAUAAGUUAAUUUCUAGCUCAUUUUCCAUGACAUAACAAAAUACUAGAAAGUAUUUUCCAAUUUAUUUUUCAUUACACUACCAAACAUCAAAAAAUAAUUCACUUUCCCGGAAUUCGCUUUCCAAAAAAAACUACUUUCCAGCAAACAAACGAAGCCUAAAUGAAUACAAUAUUAAGAUUAAGAGUCAUAUUGUCUUAAAACAUCUAAUGUAUUCUAUAUUUUAUAUUAUAAACUUAUCUUAUCAUUUUGAAAAUGAUUUAGCCAUACUAACAUCUAUACAUAUAUAUAAUACCUCCAUUACAUCCUACACAUUUUUUUAUUUUUACACCACAAAGGUUUUCAAAGAAAAUAAAGACAUAUAAAUGUUACAUUUUAAAAUGAUAAUUCAUAAACAAAAAAUCCUACAUCUAACGAUCUGCAUCAUCUCGUGGUGUAUGUAUUUCAACAAUAACCACAUUAAUUAAUUUACUCAAUAUCUUAGUCAUAUAUUAAUUAUUUUACUCUUAACUUUUAAAAUUUAAUACUUCUAACUUCAAUCAAUAAUUUACAUAAUCUUUUCAAAAUUUAAAUAUCCAGCUAACUCAUCUCGAUUACCAAUAAUUCUAACACUUUCAUAUAAUUACCCACAAAUUUGGUUAUUCUUCCUCGGUUACCAGUAAAUCAAUAAUUCCAUCUAAAUUACCCAUCAUCUAGUUAACUACUUUUGUUUGCCAAUCAAUCUGGUAAUUCCAUAUGAAUUACCUCAUAUCCAGUUAACCUCUUUGUUAACCAAUAAACCGGGUAAUUCUCUUAAUUACCCAAGAAAUUCGGGUAACCCAUUUUGGUUGCCAAAAUCAAUCCGGUAAUUCCAUAUGAAUUACCCAGCAUCCGACUAACCUUUUUUGUUAGCCAAUUAAUAAUUCCGGUAAUUUCACAUAAAUUACCAAUAAUUCUCAUUUGUAAUAAUCACUCAAUUUAUUCAUGUGCUUCAUUCUUUUAACAUCAAUUAAAUAAACAAAUAUGUGGUUGUAUGUGAAAUGAUGAUGUUAUGUUUGAGAAUGACUUUUUAUCUGAAUGAAUUAAAAAACAUUACAUGCUUUGCAUUUCGGCACAUAAGAAAAAUAUUAAUGAACUAAUGAUAUAAUGACAUUUGAUUGAUUUAGGAGUUGUGUCUGGAGCUGGUUAUCAGAUAAGAGGAGUUGGGUUAUCACGAGCAGAAGGUAGGUGAUUUGUCACCUUAUUUUAUAAUUAUUAGUUUUCCUUAAAGAUUUAUGUUGUUUAUUUAAUUAAUGUUAAAAGAAUAAGCAAAUGAAUAAAUUGAGUGAUUAUUACCAAUAAAAAUUAUUGGUAAUUUAUGUGAAAUUACUAGAAUUAUGUAAAAGAUCGCUUCAACUUUUUUAACUUGGUUGCUCUUUCUCAACUAGACAACCACUUCAACUAAUUUCUAGAAAUCAGUUUCGAUAUUUUCACUAUCUUUCCCUUACAACCGAAGGAAGCAUAUCUUGGAAUAUCUCAUGGAUUUGGACUGGAUUGGGUGUUUUGGUUUCUGAUGAGAUGCUCCAUGAAAAAUAUCAGGCUCGCUGGAUGUCGUUGUUUGUGGUAUUGACAGUUGAUGACUUUUUUUUUUUACUUUUCAAAGUUAAUGAUUCUGACAUUUCGAAGGAGGUGGGAAAUUAUCUUCGUCUGUGAAGUAGUGUUGAAUGUUGGAUCAAUAACUCACUGUCUGCUUUGCUACUAUUCCUAUCCGAUGACUCUGACAUUUCAAAGGACGACCAGGUAGGGGUGUUCUCCUUCACCUUUCAUUGCAUUAUCAGUAGCUUCCACUCCGAAAUUCAAUAGUUUUUGUUGGAGAAAAAAGAAAAGGAAAAAAGAAGAAUAGUUUAUGCAAAAUUGCGUAUACACUGUGUAUCACUUCAGCCUUCCCCAUGUUUAGAGGAAUGAACGUCCUUUUUGCUUGCUACAUAGCUUUUCUUUUACAGCUAUUAGUCUUCCAAACUUGCCAUUCUAGCAACUUCACUGCUCAUUGUGCUCCUUCUUCAUGCGGCAAUAUCCAAAACAUAAGCUUCCCUUUCAGACUAGACACUGAUCCACAAAGCUGCGGAAACAAUAAUUAUACUCUGAUUUGCGAGAACAAUAUUGCUACAGUAUUAUAUUUGUAUUCAGGUAAAUACUACGUGCAGGCAAUCGACUACGGUAACUUCACAAUCCGAGUGGUAGAUGCUGGUGUACAUGAUAAUUCCUGCUCCAUCCCUCGUUAUUCUUUGGCACCUGAUGACUUCAGUGACGGAGAUCCAUACACAUGGUAUAACUACAAGCAGGUGCCGCCAGGAGUGAGUGAAAGUUUCGUGUACUACUGGGGCCACUGGUUCUUACCUCCACUAUCACAGCCUAUGAUUUUCAUGAGCUGUGAAAAUACGGUGAAUUCUCCUCUUUAUGUGGACACGGCUCCCUACGGCCUUAAGUAUGGAUCAGGAAAUUAUUCCAACUCUUCUCUUGUGAGUCAUUCGAAUUAUGUGGCUCUUGGGGGCAUGACUGCCUCGGAUUUGAUGGAACUGUGCAGCAUAGAGAAAAUAUUUUUGCUUCCAAAGAAGAGCUACACAUACAAGUCCUUUGAAGAAAUACACAGUGACCUGGCAUACGGGUUUGAGCUUUCAUGGUACAACAUCUACUGUGAAAAUUGCACAAGGGGUUGCUACAUCGACAGCUCAGACCGUCGUCAAUGCAUUAGCAGCUGUAUGUAACACUUGAUGAUUAAGUUGCAUCACUUUGAUUCAUAAGACCAUAUAUAACUUGUGAUUUGAGGUGGUUUCAUAUAUUUUCUCUGGCUUACUUUUCAAUUUUCCUUUUUUUCGGGCAUUAGCACAAUAUUGCACUGUCCCCAGAUCGAUGUUCAUGUACAAAUUCUGUGCAUCCAUUACCUGUGAAUUCUACUAUAGUGGACUGAUUAUGAGAUUCAUUCAUGUUCAUAUUGUAAAAUAUUCUGACUAUAAUGUGGUUGAAGGUAGUUGGACAGAUUCAUUGGUCUUUUGCAAUUUCAGGAUUGACACAGUGAAACGUUUGGUUCAUCUUAACUUGACCAUGGAUACACAUUAAUUAGUUCAAGGCACAUUAUUAAUUAAAUUGUGUGUGCUCUUAUCUAUUUUCUUUCGCAUUUACUGUUGCGUAUACCAUUAGAACUCUUUGUAAACCUAAAUUCUCGACAGAUUUUGGUGAAAGCUUCUGGGAAACACUACUCCUCGCAGUGAUAGGUGCGAAUUCUCUUUCUGCAUCUCACCUUGUUUGUGUAUUCUUAAGUGUUUCUUCAAACGACUUAUUUGUGAAAUAAGGAUUGUUGUUUCUUGAAUAGUAAUUGUAAUUUUGUUCACCAUUUUCUGCAGAUCCCCUAUAUAUCCAUUUUAUUUGGUAAGAGAUUCCAUCAUUUCUUUAGUUUCGCAACAAAUUUCUAGUGGAGACAACAAAUAAGAUCACAAAACUUGAUUGUUUUCUGGAAAUUUCCUACACAGCACUGCUUCAUGGGCCAAAAGUUGUUUGUGGGACUCCAUGUGUGAUUAUAUUUUUGAUCUACAAAUUGCGAAGGAGACAUUUAUCAGCAUAUGAUAUAGUUGAACAAUUCCUACAGGGUCAGAAUAACCUUAUGCCAGUAAGGUAUUCCUACUCAGAUAUCAAGAAGAUUACUAGAGGUUUCAAGGAGAAAUUAGGUGAAGGAGGCUUUGGUACAGUUUACAAAGGAAAGCUUCGCAGUGGACAUUUUGCAGCAGUAAAAUUGUUGGGAAAAUCAAAAGCUAAUGGACAGGAUUUCAUAAAUGAAGUUGCUACCAUAGGAAGGAUUCACCAUACUAACGUGGUGCAGCUAAUUGGUUUUUGCGCUGAAGGAUCAAAGCGAGCUCUUGUAUAUGAUUUCAUGCCUAAUGGAUCUCUUGAUAAACACUUGUUUACUUGAGAAGGAUCAAUCUCUUUAAGCUGGCAAAAACUGCAUCAGAUUUCCCUUGGAGUGGCUCGUGGUAUCGACUAUCUUCAUUUAGACUGUGACAUGCAAAUACUUCAUUUUGAUAUUAAGCCUCACAACAUUCUUCUUGACGAAAAUUUCAGUCCAAAAGUUUCUGACUUCGGGCUCGCUAGGUUGUACCCCACUAAUGGCAGCAUAACAUCUCUUACUGCAGCAAGGGGCACCAUAGGAUACAUGGCUCCUGAACUGUUCUACAAAAACAUUGGACGUGUCUCCUAUAAAGCUGAUGUAUAUAGCUUUGGAAUGCUGCUAUUGGAAAUGGCAGGCAAAAGGAAGAAUGUAAACGCAUUGGCAGAAAAUUCAAGUCAAAUCUACUGGCCAUAUUGGGUUCAUGACCAAGUAUCUGAUGGAAAGGCCAUAGAAAUCGGAGACGAUGCCACGGAGGAAGAACGUAAGAUCGUCAAGAAGAUGAUUAUGGUUGGAUUGUGGUGUAUACAAAUGAAACCCAUGGAGCGGCCUACAAUGAAGAAUGUUGUGGAGAUGCUUGAAGGAGAUUUGGAAAACUUGCAAUUGCCUCCUAAGCCUGUCUUCAAUCUAGAUGUGACGCCACCAAACAUUGAAGGAGAGUCAUCAUCGUUGUCAGGUGAUUCUACCGCAUCAACCAGUUUGAUUGAAAAUGCAUACUAAGUUAUAUGAUGUGGAAUGCUCUGCUUACAUGCAGGGAAAAUGAUAGAAUAAUGGUGCUUUCGGACUUGGUUGUGAUGAUUUAGUCUGCAACACAUUAUGAUAAUUUGCAAUACUUCCUUUUAUCUGAUUUGUGUUUAGCUAAUUUAGAGUUCAAGCUGCGGCUUGUUUCUUCGGUGUGGUCUAUAUAAUCAUCAUACAAAGAUGUUCUGUAUUGUGUUUAACUAUCAGAUUUCCACUCUGUUUGGCAAUCAUAGCAGUUGGCGAGGAUGGAACAUCCUCCAUGAUAACUGUUCCAUGUUCUACAUAUUAAUUAUCCUAUAUUUUUCUCCAACAGAAUAAUAUUUUGGCUACAAAUUAACAAGAGACUAUCACAGGGAUUAUAUAAACAAGUUUAUGCAUGAAAAGACGAGUCUCUAUUUAUAGGUAGCCACUACAAGUAGCUUCGGAGACCACAAAUACAAGUCAAGUCUCUCUAGUAAUCCUUCCACUAUAAGUAGCUUCGGAGAUAGAAAAUAGCGAUUUAUUUGCUAUCAUAGGGAUGAUUCUGAACAGAGGGGCUUAAUUUCAUUUUCUUCCACCAACAAUGCCUUCGUGUCAAUGUUCAGCCCCAUGAUAAUCGAUCUAGCGUCACCAUUUGCACAUUACCAUAUCUUGCAUAAGCCACGAGGAACCAAUCACAACAAAACAGGAUUGAAAACCAUGACCAUAACGGGUGCUGUGAAAUGAAUAUUGAAACAGAUGGGUGAAUUUGAUGCAGAAAAGUAGAGAGGAGACAAUGAAGCUUGCUUACCGGUCAUGGCAUUUCACCAGGGAGCUCUGCUUCUUCAAAAAUGCUCAACUGUGCUCAACAACCUUUCAGGAUCUGCUUCAAUUUUCUCAAGAGAAUGGGAAACAGUGAACGGGAUCCUCGUUAGCUGCGGGCAAUCACCCACAGUAAUUUCCUCAAGAGAAUUGCAUAGAAGACUUCCAGAAUAAAUGCUAUUCAAAUUAUGACAUUUGUUCUGCGAGAUAUUCCCACUUUAUCAGGAUGAAAAUCAUCCCACAAAUCAUCAAGAAUGAUGACAUGGUUUUGUAUCACACUCAAUGCUGUCCAUAGCUCCCCAGCUCUACUCGUCACAUCUUUUCCUCUCGGAAGACAUAAACCAAAAGCUUCGGCAAUGAGAUCCUGCGAGGCAUGAAUGCUAAAUUUCUGUUCAUAUGCUGUGUGAUGAAGGUGUUGCUUUCUGUGACAUAGUAAUCCAACAAACAUGAAAAAAAAAAAUGUCUGGUUUCUCUUGAAGCUGAUUAUGGAUAUGUGCAGCCAAAGUUGUCUUUCCCACUCCCCCAUCCCGUACAUGCCAAUGCAUGAGACCUCACCAUUCAACAACAAGACCAGACAUCCUUCAUAUUUCUUUCAAUAGCUUGACCCACUAGCUUCGUUGUCGGGACUACAUAUCUUUUAGUCCUACGUCGCUUAUGUACAGGCCUUUUAGAAUAGCUUACCGUGUCAAUUCUCAAGUCAUGUUCUCUAUAUAAACUCUUAACAAAACAUCCCUCGUUGAUGAGGAUGAGAUGUUAUUCAAGAUCAUUUCAAAUGCCUGACAUGUUUUCUCUGUUCUCUGUCCAGGCUCGGGUUCAUCUGGCACAAGUACAACAUGAGCUCUAGGUUCCUCAACAAUCUCGGUCUCCCCCGUCAAGAACUGCUCUGUUGAUCACCCCAUCUUCAUCACUUUCAAAAGAAACAUGCAAUAAUUUUGCUAACUUUGAGUUUCUAUCGUCAAAAUUCACUACAAAUCACUUCUUUUCAUUGCACCAUUGGCUUCCCAGCUGCAAAUUCAAGUACCCUUUUUAUAUAUAUAAAAUCAUCAUUUUUUUGGGCUAAAAACAACAAGUUAAUAACAGGUUUAUGUAUAUCGACAACGUCAAUUUAUUUUAUUUAUUUAUUUAAAAUUAAUACUUUUUGGUAUUUAAUUUUUUUUAUCUAUUUAUUUGCUUAAAAAUAAAAAAUUUGUGUUUUUAAAUUAUUUUAAUGUGAUGAUAUCUAAAAUAAUUUUUAAAAAAUAAAAUAAAUAUUAUUUAAUAUAUUUUUGAAUAAAAAAACACUUUAAAAAAUAACCACAACCAUACUUUCAAAUACACCGUUAAUUAUUUUGACAUUUAAAAAUUACAAUCUAAACUGAACUUGUUUGUCAUUCAAAUUUAAAAUUUUUAUUUUGUUUGGAAUUAAUAUAUUAAUAAUAAAAAUAAUUUUUUAAAAAUAAAAUAAAAAAAAUCAUUUUAAUAUAUUUUUAAAUUAAAAAAAUUCUGAAAUAUUAAUUUUUAUCAAACUCACAAGCACUCCUUACAUAUUUACUAUUAGGUAAAGGUUCCGAUACCAAAAUACAAAACAGUCCCUAGAAAUCAUAAAAUCCUAAUUUCAUCCCCGGAAUGAUAGCAAAUGGUUUUGAUAGCUUUGCCAAACCUUAAAUAUUAAAAAUAUUUCACACCGUAUAAGAUUCCUUACAUUUACUAUUAGGAAAAUACACGCUGCAAUUACAACUGAAGAUGCAUGGAUUUUGGAGAGAGGGUACGAACGCCUUCUUGUCAAUGUGCAGCCCCAUGAUCAUCGAUCUAGCGUCACCAUUUACACAUUACCAUACCUUGCAGAAGCCACGAGGAAACAAUCACAACCAAACAGGAUUGGAAACCGUGACCAUAAUGGGUGCUGUGAAAUGAAUAUUGAAACAGAGGAGAAAAUGAAGCUUGCUUACCGGUCAUGGCAUUUCACCAGAGAGCUCUGCUUCUAACUGUGAAAUGCGUCUUCUUGUGGGUAAGAGGCAAGGUCUUCAAACAUGCUCAACUGUGUUCAACAAACUUUCAGAAUCUACUUCAAUUUUCUUAAGAGAAUGGGAAAUAGCGAACGGGAUCCUCGUUAGCUGCGGGCAAUUACCCACUGUAAUUUCUUCGAGAGAAGUGCAUUGAAGUCUUCGAGAAUAAAUGCUUUUCAAAUUUGGUAAUUUCUUCAAUUUAUCAAAACUACGAAAAGGAGAGGAAUGCUCCUCUCCAGGCACCAAAACUUCACAACUUCCCAUUAUCUCUCGCAUGUUGUAACAAUCUUCGACUACAAUCACUUCCAAUCGGAGUGUAGACAAAAACCGUGGGAGCAGCACCUUUAUCCUAUGACACUUAUGUAUCACCAUCUCUCUGAGAUCGAAAAAGACACCAACAGUACCUAGCUUUGAAGGUACUUCAAAAGGGGUUUCUAAGAUUAUCAAACCAUCAAGGUGUAGAAUCUCAAGCCCAUAUGAUGGACAUAAGCUUCUCAUGUUUUGACAACUAACAAAAACUACUUUUGCCCAUAUCAAACCACCUGUUGUUUUGCCCCUCACUACUUCCACCAUUUGUGCUCCACUGGAUCAGUCUGCAAUUCCAUUGCCUGCCUCUGCCCCAACUCCGCUGAUUUCCAAUCACCAUCCUAUGACUACUCGUGCAAAGUAUGGCAUCAGUAAGCCUCGUGCUCUUUGUGCCAGUAAUUAUCCCUUGCCUCAAAAAUAUGUUGCACUACUUAUCUCCUCCAUCCCUCGUGAACCUUCAUCUUUCAAAGCUGCCAGCCUUGAUUCACAUUGGAUUUCUGCAAUGACAGAUGAGUAUCGUGCACUCCUUGAUAAUCAGACGUGGUCUUUAGUGCCUCGUACAUCCUCUAUGAACGUUGUCGGCUGCCGUUGGGUUUACAAAAUCAAAGAACAUGCUGAUGGUUCCAUUGAACGCUAUAAAGCGCGUCUUGUCGCUAAAGGCUUCAAUCAAGAGUAGGGUGUUGAUUUUACAAACACUUUCAGUCCAGUUGCUAAAGCAACAAUAGUUCGUCUACUUCUCUCAAUUGGUCUCUCUCGUUAAUGGAGUAUUCGGCAGCUUGACGUUAAAAACGCUUUUCUACAUGGUGCUUUAACUGAAGAGGUUUUUAUGUCUCAACCUCUGGUUUUAUCCACUCUUCUUUUCCUAACCAUUUGCAACUUCACCGCUCCAUUUAUGGUUUAUGUCAAGCACCGCGUGUGUGGUUCCAGAGUUUUAGUAAUGCCUUAAUUUCUCUUGGCUUUAAAUCUAGCAAGGCUGAUCAUUCUCUUUUUACAUAUCAUUCAUCUACUGGUACAGUGUUGCUGCUUGUCUACAUCGACGAUAUUAUUAUUAUGGGUUCUACAGAUUCUCUUAUUAAUCACUUGUCACUAAGCUCUCUCAACGCUUCCAUAUGAAAGAUCUUGGUGACCUUCAUUAUUUCCUUGGUCUUGAAGUUCAUCGUACCCCCACUCAUUUUCGACUCACGCAAACUAAGUAUCUGCUGUCUAUAUUUAAGUCUUCCAGCAUGCUUGACUAUAAACCUCAAUCUACUCUUGUCGUCUCUGGACGCAAACUUUCCAUGUCUGAUGGCCUUUUAUUAUCUGAUCCUCAUGAAUAUCGUCGUCUUGUGGGAGCUCUUCAAUACCUUACAUUUACACGACCGAAUAUAUCUUAUUAUGUUCAACAAGUUUGCCAAUUCAUGCACUCUCCACGUGAUGCUCAUCUCCAAGCUGUUAAACGAAUUUUACGAUACCUAAGAGGUACAAUUGGUUCUGGUAUUUGCUUCUCUGCCAACUUGUAUCCCACUUUAUCCUGCUUUCUUGAUGCCGAUUGGGCAGGAUGUCCUGAUACUCAUCGCUCCACCAUGGGCCACUGUGUUUUUCUUGGCUCUCAUUUAAUCUCCUGGAGUGCCAAGAAACAAUUAACCGUUGCACUCUCUAGCACAGAAUCUGAAUAUAAAGCUCUUACUCAUGCUUCUGCAGAUCUCUUGUGGAUUUCUUAUGUUCUUCGGGACAUUGGUUUUCACAACCUCCCUGCCUUGCACACUCUACUCUGACAACAUGGGUGCUACUCAAUUGGCCCACAAUCCUGUUUUCCAUGCCCGCACCAAACACAUUGAGCUUUCUUAUCAUUUCACACGUGAACUUGUCUCCACUGGUUUCCUUAAAGUCUCCUUUGUUCGCUCAACGAAUCAACUUGCUGAUCUCUUUAACAAAGGAUUAUCCUUGACUACAUUUUGCUUCUUUCGUGACAAGUUAUUGUGGCAUCCUCUCCAUCAACUUGCGGGGGCAUUAUAGAAUACAAGAUAUUGACAGAUAUUGUAACAGAUUGCAUAGCUAUAAUCAAGGCUUUUGAAUACAUUCUUAGCUAAUGUUGAGGCUAUAAAGUAGGCAAGUGAUAUGCUAUUGUAUAACUAAUUGCAUAUUUACAGGGCUUUGUAAAAUAACUAUAAAUACAUAGAAUCAACUAUUAAAGGUUGAGCCAUUCUUCUACAAUUUUUUCGCAUUCUUUCUUUAUUGAUCAGAAAGAUCUAGAAUUUGAACUGCCAUGGUUUAUAAUUAUUUUUGGAGAUCUGAAAGUAUGAAUCCUUACCAGUUGCGGUGACAAACUACUGUUUAUUGGGAGAAAUGGCCAAUUAGAGCUAGCCAUAUUUACUUGAAUGAUUCUUGAACUUUUCUUGGGCCAUCUGACAGCCUAUGAUAGAUUUCCUAAAAUUUAUUUAUGCGGCCUUCUGUCUCAAAGAAUUUGGCAAGAAACGAUCGGUAGAAAUUUAUAAAAAAUUUACUUUUUAAAAUUUGAUUUAUAGUUUAAAUAGAUGGUAUUAAACUUGGCUAGCUGGAUUCAUCAACUUAGAAUCUAGUUAAAUUCAACAAUUUAUAAAAAAUCUAGUUAUCGUCUAAAACUUGGCUUAAACUAGGUUAAAAAAAUUAAAUAAAAAUUGAUUUAAUCAAAUUAAAAAUCAAGUAAAUUAACUCGCAAUUCAAUCAUCUUAAUUAAAAUUUAAUUUAAUUAUUAAAGUUGUUUUUCUUAAAGUAAUGACAUUUCUUUUUUUUUAAAAUUAUGAAAUAAUUCACCCGAGUAAACUUUGUUUUUCUUAAAACAAUGACAUUAUAUUUUCGUUUAAUUUUUUUUAAAUAGUGAAAUAAUUCACUCGAGUAAACUUUGAUUUAAAAUUGAAAAUCUUGAAAUAAUUAACUUGAAAUUAAUUAUUAGUACUCUCAUUCAAUUCUCAAUUAUAAUCAUGGCACAUGUAACUGUUUUUAUUAUAUAAAGGCUUAUUUAUUUUUAUGUUUUAAAAGGAUUUUUUUUUAAAAAAAAUUAUUUUUAAUUAAUUUUUUUUUGAUAAUUUUAAAUUGUUUUAAUGUGUUAAUAUCAAAACUAAAUUUUAAAAACUAAAAAAUAUUAUUUCGAUACAACACAGUUAGCAUACUCUCAAACAUACAAAGUAUUUUGUCAAAAAACUUCACAUAAAAUCAGGACAACACACAAGCAAUUCAUUCCAUCAAUCUGGAAUUGCAUUACAAAAACGUGAAAAAAAAUAAAAUCUGGAGUUAACUCAGAAUCUACUAUUAUAAGUAAUUAAGUAUACAUGCAUCAGCCAGCGUUAAUUUGAUUCCAAUCACACCUUAGAAUCCAACCUCUGUGCUUCUUUUCCUGCGCAAUCCUUCAGCACAGCUCGGGGUGGAAGGACUUUCUUGAAGAUGGAUAAGAAACAGUUCACUUCGAGAUCAAGCUCGUCAUCGUCAUCGUCAUCCAUCUUAGCCUUCUCCUCUUCCAUUCUCUUCAAUUUAUCGUUGUGUAAUCUUCUCAGAACAUAUGCUUCAGCUAGACAGUACCCAUGAGUUGCCAUGGCCCAAAAACAUGUUCCAGGUGUCUUUGUUGAGAGACCAGUGGAAAUGAACUAGGGUUGAUGAUGAGCUGAGAGGCUCUGUUUAGGUCAUUUUAUAAGGGUCUGUCGGCUUGGGGAGGAAGGAAGUCGUGUGAUGUUCAGUGGUCCAAAUGGAACUUGAGAGUGAAAUAUUUGUAAUUUUUUGGUGGACAAUGUCAUGGCAGCGUAGAAACUUUGUGGAAAUGGACAAUUAAAAAAACAGGGGAUGUAAGAAACCCUUGUUUUUAGUUAUUAGUGAUUAUGUGUGCAACAUCCGGAAUUUUGCAUUGAAAGAAAGGAAGAAAUUAUGUAGAGGAAACACACCCUUGGACUUGUAAAUGUUAUACAUACUUAAUACAUGAACUCCUAACCAGUUACCGAAGGUAACCUCAACUUAUAAUUACUCUGUUUUAGAGAAAGCUGCCAACUCUUGUUGAAGCCAUUGCAUGCAUUCUUAUGAACUUGGACUGGGCUUUCCACUAUUGCAAUCUUGGGCUGCAAGCUCUAGGAUGCUUCUAACAGACACACAAUAAUGGGAGAAAUGAGUAUGUAGCUCUUGAAGACAAAAUGUCAAAUCUUUCAUGUGGUAAGGGUGAUCGAUGUUUGUUCUUCGAAGAUCAUGCAGUUAUUGAUCCUGUCUUGCAUCUUAAACUUUUUCGACGACGAGCUUGCGUGCGAGAUUCAGAGGAAGAUUGAUGAAGUUGGACCGGGCUUUCCACGAUUGCAAUCUUGGGCUUCUUCUAGGUUUGUAAUUCCAUUGUAAUCGUUCAAGUUGGCCAGGACAAAGACACAAUCAUUGAAGAAAUAAGUGUGUAGCACUUGAAGAUUAAAUGAAGAAUCUUUCAUUUUGUAGGGGUGAUCGUAGUUUGUUCUUUGAAGAUGAUGCAAUUAUUGAUUUGGUCUUGCAUCUUGAUGUCGGUAAAUGAUUUUUUUGUUUUUCCAACCAAUAUAACGAUAAAAUUUGGAAUCACCGACAAAAAAAAAGCCGACGCACAUAUUCCGUCAAUAAUAUAGUCGGUAAAUAAUUUACCGAUGAACUCCUAAUCACACACCGACAUAAUAUUUUCAUCGGUAAAACUUCGAAAUCUUGUAGUGUGAAUAUGACUUGCUAAGAAAUGCUGUUUAUAACGAGAGAGACUCUUUCAGAGAGUUGGAGAAUGAGUUUUCUCAUGAGCUAGAUGUUGUGUUUUUCAUAAAGAAAGUGAAAAAAUCCGAAGCUAUUGUUGUAUUGAUACAACACCAUUGUUGAGCACUUUCACCUUAUAAAUUAUUUAUUAGAGAUUUUGAGCAGUUGGAGUAUUGGGAGAUUUGUUAUUAUCUCAUGUUCUGAAGUUUCAAGUCGUUAUCCAUUAAAAGAAUUUUUGGUGACUCUUACUAGCUUUCCACUAAUAAAGUCAAGAAAACUUCAUGGUUGAAUUAAGCUUUUUGAAACUUCGAUCUUGGAUCGGUGGAGUGAUAGGCUUUGUGAGAGCGAGCCCGUUUAUAGGAUUUGUAAAUACGUGUUGUUACUUUCAAUAUAUAUAUAUAUAUAUAUAUAUAUAUAUAUAUAUAUAUAUAUAUAUAUAAGUUACAUUUAUGAAAUGAUUAUUUUAUAUUUAUAGUAAUGUUAGAUCUUAACUUGUAUUGGUGUAAAUAUUUUAUAUGACAUAUAAUUGGUUAAUUAUUGAUUUUAUUCUUAAAUAUAUUUGGAUAAAUGAUUUAAUAACUAAAUAAAUCUUAAUUUCAUUAUAUUAUCUUCUUAGCCAUAAGUUUUUUUUUUUUUUUUUUAUGAUGAGUAUAAUAAAUACUCAUAUAAAAUAAUUAUAUUAUCAUUUUUUUUUUACCUUAAAAACACCUAAAAAAGAUCUAAAAAAGAUCUGAGCUUUGGUAGAAUUUUUGUUUUGGUUGGAUUUUAGGUUUUGGGGUGUUUUAUUGGGUUUUUGGUGGCAAUGGAUUGACUUAACAAGGUCUCUAGAGUUUUUUCUAGGUGUCUUGGGUAAAAAAUAAGUUGAAAAUUGAUUUUUAGGUAAAAAAAUAAAGGACCAUAUUUUUCCGGCCAUCAUAAUAGCCGAAUUCUAGGUUGCGCAAACGACGCAUCAUUGUUUUAUAUACUCGAGGCAUUAUAAUUUUUUUUCUAAAUAAAUGCUCGCGCAUUAGCCGUUGUUUUAUUGGGUCAGAUGUUAGGUGUAGCUUGCUUGGCCCAACAGUGCCUAUCCUGAUUUUUUUUUUUUUUUAGUUUUGUGUGUAUUUUAUCAAAUAAAUUUUUGGUUUAUAUUUUAAUUAGAUUGUGAUUAAUUUUAAAUGAUAUUGAGUAUAUUUAAUUUUUAAAGAGGUAAGUAUGAUUCAUCUGUGAUUUUUUCUUAAUUUUAUAUAGAUUAAAUUUGUUUUUUAAUAUUGUUUUUUUAAUAAGAUUUUUUAUAUGUGCAACCUUACAUUGUUUUUUUAAUUAUUAUUCAAAAAUUUUUAUGUGUGUAUCAGUUUCUAUUACAAAUUUAGUUUAAUAGAGAGGUUCAUUAAACACAAUCAUAUAAAUUACCCAUAUUGCAAUUACCCAAAUUUAUGUAUAGUGCUUUUGUUCCUAUAACCUAGGUCAUUGUUUAAAAAGUUAGUCUUAUUUUUUUAUAUUUAUUUUUUUCUAUAUAAUUAUUCUAUUUUCUUUUAAUUUUUACUUUAUUAACAAAUAAAAUUAUUGAGAUGAUUUGAAAAUAUUAUAAAGAUAUAGUUAUAUAAUAUUGACAAAUAUUUAUCUUUUGUAUUGAGUCAUUGUUUUUUUUCUCGCUUUAUUUACUGUCAACAUCAUUAAAUUAACUAAUUUUAUUAAAUUUAUUAGAGCAAAUUACCUAUAUAUUAUUUUAAAAAUAAUAUUUUUAUAGUAAUUGGUACUUGUGGUGCGACCCGCCUAACUAGUCUUACCUGUAAACAUAUCAUGUUAUGCCAUCCAUGUCACAAACUCAUUUAAAGCUUGACGCAUUGGUCAAUUAUUUUAUAUUUCAGUGUUUUGUGGCAUUAACAAUGAAGUUAGUGAUUGAAGCAUUAGUCCACACUCUUAGUGUCUUUCAUGGCGAAGACUUCCCCCCCAUGCGCACUCAGGUCAAUGAUGAACAAUUGUAGGGUUCUUGGUUAUUACGCAAUAUUUUUUUUUGGUCACCAAACCUGACCUUCGAAGAUGUCAUUAAAAGUGCCGCCACAUCUUUUUCUUUAUGGUAUGGGUGGCGUGAUGACUUAUGAUCGUUGGAUUUUGGUGGAUUGUUCUCAUAAUUUUUUAUAUCUUUUUUUUAUUUCAGUUUUUAUUCUAUUAAUUUUUUAUUUGAUACUUUUAUUUAAAAUUUUAAUCGCUUUCAAUAAAGCUUGUCGGUGGUAAAACACACUCCGAAGCAACCUGUGGUUCAAACUUCAACGACAAAAAUAUGAGCUCUUUCUUUUCUGUUCGUUUCUGUGGUCCACCACCUUUAAUUUCUUUCAUGGCAAGACUUUUCCCCUAUGAGCAAGCAGGUCAAUGACGAAGAAUUGUAGGGUUCUUGGUUAUUUCUUCUGGUCCAGAAGUCUCUGCCGUGUAACAAUCUAUGGGUAGAAAUUAAUGGCAAAGGGAAGAGAUGAAAGAAGAAGGACCUUCAAAAUCCUUCUUUCCUCCCUGCAAUUCCUUCACAAUUAUGUGUUACAUUGAUUUUCUUCGCAUUUGAAGUGAGUUAGAGUACUGGAUGUUAAAUAAUAUUUAUGUAGUCUUAUUUAUUAAGGAUAGAAUAAUACUUUAAGUUUAAUUUAUAUAUAUUUUAAUUGUAUUUAGGUUAUAACUAUACAAUCAUAAUAUACAAAUUAUUCAAAAUUUUAAUAUUUUUUUAUGUGUUUGAUUUUAAUUAUUUCAACACUAAAUUGCUUAAAUAUGAUGAAUAAAGGGUUGGAUUUGUAAAAUUAUUUACACAUUUUCUGCUGUAUCAUCGACGUUCUUCCUUCCUCCAACCAUUUCCAGCACUAACAUACCAAAGCUGUAAACAUCUGAUUUACAGGAAACGUUCCCGAAGUUCCUCGAGAACACUUGUAUCCUUGGAACACAACUUAGCCAUCCCAAAAUCGGCGAUUUUGGGAAUGAUUUAGUUGUCAAGCAGGAUAUUCUGUGGUUUGAUAUCAAAAUGGAGGAUUCUUUGAUCACACCCCUGGUGAAGAUAUUCAAUCCCCUUGGCUAUGCCUAUAGCAAUUAUUCUUUAUAUAUAUAUAUAUAUAUAUAUAUAUAUAUAUAGAGUAAUUGGCUUUUUUUGUUUCAUUGUUUUUAUAUUCAUUUUUUUUUCUUUUUAUACAAUUAUUAUAUUCGUAUUUAAUUUUUAUUUUACUAACAAAUAAGAUCAAUGAGAUAUUUUAAAAAUAUUAUAAAGAUAUUGUUUUAUAAUAUUGACAAACAUUUAUUUUUUAUAUUGAAUCAUUAUUUUUUCCCGUUUUAUUUAUUAUAAAAAUAAAAUAUACUUCCAUAAUAUUUAUAAUUAUUCUAUUAUCAUUGAAUCAUGCUAAAAAUAAUUGGCCCGGGACGGCGCGGCAUCCUAACUAGUCUUAUCUAUAAACCUAUCAUGUUAUGCCACAUACUCAUUUAAAGCUUGAUACAUUGGUCAAUUAUUUUAUACUGAUUGGGACGUUAAAGAGCCGGUCAAUUAUUUUAUAUUUCAGUGUUUUGUGACAUUAGCAAUGAAGUUACUUAUUGUAUUUUAAAAAUAUUUUUAAAAUUUUUAAAAUUUGUUAAAUUUAUUUAUUAAAAAAAUUAAUAUAUUUAGAUUAUUUUAAUAUAUUGAUAUAAAAAAUAAUUUUUAAAAAUUAAAACAAAAUUAUUAUUUUAAAAUAUUUUUAAAUAAAAAUAUUUUAAAAAAUAACUAUAAUUAUACUUUCAAAUAAAUUCUUGCUUUCAUGACGAAGACAUUUCCCCGUGCGCACCCAAGUUAAUAAUGAUGAAGAAUUGUAGGGCUCUGGGUUAUUACGCGUUAACGAGUUGUUGGUGUCCCCAACAUGGGAGAUGCCACCAUAUCUUUUUCUUUUUCUCUUUUAAAGUUGUGAGCGUGAUAACAUGUGAUUAUUGAAUUGUCGCUUAUUAUUUUUUAUAUUUUAUUUUUAAUUUUAUUUUUAUAUUUUAUAUCAACAUUUUAUUUAUUUUCAAAUUUAUUUUUCAAUUAUAUAUUUUUUUAUUUUUUUAUUUCAGUUUUUAUUCUAUUAAUUUUAAAUUUUUUUAUUUGAUACUUUUAUUUGAAACUUUAAUAACUUUUAAUAAAGUUUGUCGGUGGUCAGAGACACUCCGACGCAACCUGUGGUUCAACGACAAAAUAUAUGGUCUUUCUUUCCUAUUCUUUUCCGUGGUCCGCUACCUUUAAUUUCUUUCAUAGUUGAUCUAUCCCCAUGCUCACUCAGGUCCAUAAAGUUUGGCUUUUCCCUUUUUCAUAAAAAUACAUAUUUCAUCUUAGAAAAAGAUAAAAAAUAAAUAAAGCAUGCAUUCGGGGUAUUUUUUUUCCUUUUACGCUGAUCUUUUGUAAUUAUCAUGAUAAUGAGGGAUAUUUAUGUACUUUUACGUUGAAUUUUUGGUUUUUUAAUUAAGACCAUGUUUGUUUCCCGGAAAAUAGUUUCCGGGAAACCAUUUUUUAAAUCUUCUUGUGUUUGUUUGUCAUUAGAAAAGUUGAUCAACGGAAAAUACUUUCUAAUUAAUGGAAAGCACUUUCCAGUCAAAGAAAAAUUUGGCUUGGUUUUUAGAAAAGUGUUUUCCCUUUAACUGUGUUUGUUUUCUGGAAAGUGGUUUCCAGGAAAUCACUUUCCAAACUUUCUUGUGUUUAUUUACCAUUAGGAAAGUUGGUCAAUGAAAAACACUUUUUAGUAAAAGAAAAAUUUGACUUGGUUUUCAGGAAAGUGUUUUCCUGAAAAAUUUGGGCGGAAAACACUUUCCGGAAGUUGUGAAAAAUUUAAAAAUAUCAUUAUUUGCUGAUUAUAUCAAAUUUGAUCCUCAAACUUUUGAUUGCUAUAUAUAUUUUGUUCUGAAUGUUUAUUUUUCAAUUUCAUCUCUUAAAAUUUUAUUUUUAUAUUAACUUUGGUCUUUAUUUUUAUAAUUGUUAUUUGCUUUUUUCUUAUCAUUUUUUUAUUGAAAUUUUUUAUCUAUCAAAUUUGGUCCUCAUUCUUUUGAUUGUUACUUAUUUUAUUUGAAAUAAUUUAUGAAAUAUUGAUUAUUAUUAUUUUAAUUUCUUCAUCUUUCAUUUGUUUUUAAUUUUUUAGAUUUGAUCUCUAUUAUUUUGAUUAUUAUUUAUUUUAUUUGAGAUAAUUUAUAAAAUUAUAUAUUUUUUUCAAUUUUAUUCUCACUCAACUUUUUAAUUUGUAAGAUUUGUUCCUCAUUAUUUUAAUAAACUUGAGAAAAAUAAAAUAUUAAUACGUUAUUUUCCAGCUUAUUUUCCAUGACAUAACCAAACACUGGAAAAUGUUUUCCAACUUAUUUUCCAUUACACUACAAAAUAUCAGAAAAUACUUUCUCGGAAUUCACUUUCCAAAAAAAAACUACUUUCCAGCAAACAAACGAGGCAUAAAGAAAGUUGAUGGUAUGUGUUCAUUAUGCACUAAUAAAUUGAUAGGGUCCGCGCCAUUUUGAAUAACGUGUGUGAUAUUUUUUGGUAGCUAAACUUGACCUUCCAACGUGUCUUUGAAAGUGGCAUCAUGUCCUAUUUUUUAUGGUGUGGCGGGUGAUAACAUAUAGUUGUUAGAUUGUUGUCGAUUGUCCUCUUUGUUAUGUAUUUUAGUUUUAGUUCUUAUUCUUUUGAUUUUUUAUUUCGUUUUUAUUUUUUAUAUAAAUAUUUUAUUUAUUUUCAAUUUAAUAUUUUAAUUAUAAUUUGUUAUAUGUAUUUCUUUUAUUUCAAUCCCUUUUUUUAUUUUUUUAUUUUUUUAUUAAAAUGUUUUUUGAUUUCAAAACUUUUUUUAAGAGCUAAGACAUACUCCGCAGCAAGCCAGCAACCCGUGCUUCAACGACAAAAAUAUGAGCUCUUUUUUUUUUUUUUUGUGUCAUUGGUUCUCGAGCCACAAAACAAAGAAUCUUUGUCCUUAUUGAAGCAUUGGUCCACCACUCUUAAAGUUUUUCACAGCAAGACUUUUCCCGCAUGCACCCUCAGGUUAAAGAUGAAGAAUAUUUGUAGGGUUCUUGGUUAUUCCUUCUUGUCGAGAAGCUUGUGCCUUGUAGCAAUCUAUCACGGUAUUACAAGGAUGAAAGAAGAAGGAUUAAUGCCAACCUUUUCAUCUCGUUGUUGAUCAACAAGGAAGGAACUUGAUAGAAAUAGACCCUUGAGAUUACUAUCCUAUUCAUCAAAAUCCUUCUAUCCUCCCUGCAAUUCCUUCAAAAUUAUGAGUUACAUUGAUUUUCUUCGCAAUUGAAGUAAGUUAGACUGGAUUGCCUAAAUAUGAUUAAUAAAGGGUUGGAUUUGCACAAUUAUUUACACAGUUUAAUUUGUUGAUUUGAUACAUCAUAAACUGUGAAUUGACAGAAAAGAAGAAGAAGCUAUCUCACAGGUCACAACAAUUUCCUUCAUUAUUGCUCACUAAUAUGUUAUUACUGAAAAGAGUAAAUUUCAGAUCACUCUAUUUCUGAGAUGGCUGCCAACUCUUGGUGAAGACGUCUCGCUGGCAUGCGGCCUGCGCUGGUUCUCUUAGAGACAGAGGAGCUAAAAGGAUCAGGAGGCUUUGUUAAGUUUUCUCCUUCCCCUUCAAGCAUCUGGACAACAGUUUUCAUGGAAGGACGCUCUGCUGGGUUCCACUGAAUGCACCAUAGCCCCACAAUUGCUAGUUUCUUCGCAAUUCUAGCAUCUUCUUCUCCAUCGAUAUGAAACCGCAGGUCUUCUUCCUUUUCUAAGAGAUUAUAAAUCCAUUCCGGGAAGUAUAUCUGGUCGCCAUUUUCUGCUGUAUCAUCGACGUUCUUCCUUCCUCCAACCAUUUCCAACACUAACAUGCCAAAGCUGUAAACAUCUGAUUUAUAGGAAACACUCCCGAAGUUCCUCGAGAACACUUCUGGGGCAAUGUAGCCAACAGUCCCCCUAGCAGUCGUCAUGGAAAUAGCACUUUUAUCCUUGGAACACAACUUAGCCAUCCCAAAAUCGGCGAUUUUGGGAUUGAAUUCGUUGUCAAGCAGGAUAUUCUGUGGUUUGAUAUCAAAAUGGAGGAUUCUUUGAUCGCACCCCUGGUGAAGAUAUUCAAUCCCCUUGGCUAUGCCUAGAGCAACACGAUUCAACCUUUCCCAGCCAAGGAAAUGGUUCCUUGAGUCUGCUGAGGUUAUGAACUUCUGUAAUGAACCAUUUGGCAAGUACUCAUAAACCAGAGCUCGUCUAAAUCCAUCAGCACAGAAACCGAUCAAGCGAACAACAUUGACAUGGUGGAUCCUUGCCAUUGUUCCCACUUCAUUGAUGAAUUCCUCCCCUUUUCCUAUGGAAUUAUUGAGGAGCUUCACAGCUACAGCAAUUUCAUUGGUCAGCUUUCCUUUGAACACGGUUCCAUAAGCUCCUUGGCCCAAUUCAUCACUGAAUUGAUUUGUGAUCCUCUUGAGAUCAGCGUAGGAGUACCUAGUGGGAUUCAGUGAUCUGUAAUCAUCCAAAAACAUUUCAACCCUGGCUUGAUAUUCUCUUUGUGUUUUAUCGUUGCUAUAGGCGCGGUAGAGUGCAGUAAUCACUAUAGCAAAAAGGAAGAAUCCUAAAAUCACACCUGCAUAUCAACAUUCUGAGUCAGGAAACUCUGUUUUUUGGGAAGUGAUGUAUUGAACCAAGUGUAAAAUUGAGAUGGAGAUUUGAGCAGACUACUAACCAGUAAUCAGUAGCUUUCGCCGCACAUCUGUAAGGGAUUGAAUACUUAUUAGCUUCUCCCUUUGAUGCAAUUGGUAAAAUCAUGAAAGCAACAAAGACGAAAAGAGUUUAAUUUGAAAAAAAGGAAGAAAGAUAGAAAGGCGUACCUUUAGUGUGCUGAAGGUAGCAUUCAGUUUCAGAAGAUCCACAAGUUAGAUUGGACCAAGACAUAGUAAGAACAUAAUUUUCUGCAUGCAACAUACUAUGUGGAAUUCCAUAAAUGUUGUACAUCUUGGUACAAGAUAACAAAUCAGUGUCACUGAUGGUGGUACUUGAUUCAACGGCAUAAACUUCAUGGUUAAAAGCACUCAGACAUGGGAUUUUAUGUGUGAGCCCAGACCUUUUCUCAUUAGAAGAACAGUUGAACAAGGUCCCAUCAUACAGCCAAUCGUUCUUAAUUUGGAAGUGAGAAGCCCCUAAACUGAGGUUUAAACGUUGCCUUAGAAAGCAACCUUGAGGAUCCCUUGCAUAAAUAAGUCGAUGUCUAUAGUCAAUUCUUUCGACGUGGAGACUCAAUCCAGUUGGCAGCUUAAGCAGUGUGUUGUUGUCCUCCGAGCAGGAUAGAUCAAAACCACAGUGGUCUGGUUGUUUGUCCAUGAUGCGGAAAGGAAAUCGGAUGUUAGGGCCACGGUUUCCACAUGAUCCUGUGCAGUUCAAGCUUGCUCCAUGGCCUGCAAGGAAGACAAUGAAAAAGAAGAACAAACACGUAACCAUUUCUGAUGAAUAAUUCAUCAUCUCCACACUCCACCUAAGAUUUUAUCUGCAUGUGCUGAUAUAGUUUUGGCCUUUCAGAAAACUCAUGGAGUCCUUAGAUGGGCGAGUCCUUCACACUAGUACACGCAUCCCUUCGACACUAAAAAAAAUUAAAAAAGAGUACUGUCUGGUUCAGGUAAUUUUGGGCGGUUUUUAUGAUUAAUUUGCUCAUCCCUAAUGAUAGUAAUAAUCUCUCUAUUUACAUAGUAUUCACAAUGCAUAUGGUAACAUGUUGGAAACCUAGAAUUAGCAGAAAAAUAGAUUCUAUCAAGUGAAUUUUAAUUACAUGGUCGCACUCUUAACGCUUAAUGCCAGAAGGGACUAGGGGUUGUGAUGGAUGCGAGAUUCUCAACAAGAAAUAACGAAGAAGCGUAUAAAUCUUCGUCAUUGACUCCAGGGUGGCUGAGGGCAAAAGUCUUGCUAUGUGAAACUUCGAGUGACAGACCAAUGUUUCAAUCAUUGACUUAAGUGUCAGUACAAUUUGUCCACACACUAUUUGAGAAGGAAAGUAAAGGGCUCUCUGUCCUGUUGUGUUGCUUGAGAUACAAUGAAUCAAGAAAGAAAAGGUCCAUAUUUUUGUCAGUAGCUUCCACUACGAAAUUCAAUAGUUUGUGCAAAAAUUAUGUAUACACUGUGUAUCACUUCAGCCUUCCCCAUGUUUAGAGGAAUGAACGUCCUUUUUGCUUGCUACAUAGCUUUUCUUUUACAGCUAUUAGUCUUCCAAACUUGCCAUUCUAGCACCAUCACUGCUCAUUGUGCUCCUUCUUCAUGCGGCAAUAUCCAAAACAUAAGCUUCCCUUUCAGACUAAACACUGAUCCACAAAGCUGCGGAAACUAUAAUUAUACUCUGAUUUGCGAGAACAAUAUUUCUACAGUAUUAUAUUUGUAUUCAGGUAAAUACUACGUGCAGGCAAUCGACUACGGCAACUUCACAAUCCGAGUGGUAGAUGCUGGUGUACAAGAUAAUUGCUGCUCCAUCCCUCGUUAUUCUUUGGCAUUUGAUAACUUCAGUGACGGAGAUCCAUACACAUCGUAUAACUACAAGCAGGUGCCGCCGCCGGGAGUGAGUGAGGGUUUCGUGUACUAUUGGGACCCUUACUUACCUCCACUAUCACAGCCUAUGAUUUUCAUGAGCUGUGAAAAUACGGUGAAUUCUCCUCUCUAUGUGGACACGGCUCCCUACGGCCUUAACUAUGGAUCAGUAAAUUAUUCGAAUUAUGUGACUCUUGGUAGCAUGACUGCCUCGGAUUUGAUGGAACUGUGCAGCAUAGAGAAAAUAUUUUUGCUUCCAAAGAAGAGCUACACAGACAAUUACUCCUUUGAAGAAAUACACAGUGACCUGGCAUAUGGGUUUGAGCUUUCAUGGUACAACAUAAACUGUGGAAAAUGCAGAAGUGGUUGCUACCUCGACAGUGCAGACCGUCGUUGGUGCUUUGGUAUGUAACACUUGAUGAUUAAGUUGCAUCACUUUGAUUCAUAAGACCAUAUAUAACUUGUGAUUUGAGGUGGUUUCAUAUAUUUUCUCUGGCUUACUUUUCAAUUUUCAUUUUUUUCUGCGCAUUAGCACAAUAUUGCACUGUCCCCAGAUCGAUGUUCAUGUACAAAUUCUGUGCAUCCAUUACCUGUGAAUUCUACUAUAGUGGACUGAUCAUGAGAUUCAUUCAUGUUAAUAUUGUAAAAUAUUCUGACUAUAAUGUGGUUUAAGGUAGUUGGACAGAUUCAUUGGUCUUUUGCAAUUUCAGGAUUGACACAGUGAACCGUUUGGUUCAUCUUAACUUGACCAUGGAUACACAUUAAUUAGUUCAAGUCACAUUAUUAAUUAAAUUGUGUGUGCUCUUAUCUAUUUUCUUUAGCAUUUACUGUUGCGUAUACCAUUAGAACUCGUUUUUAAACCUAAAUUCUCGACAGAUUUUGGUGAAAGCUACUGGGAAAGACUACUCUACGCAGUGAUAGGUGCGAAUUCUCUUUCUGCAUCUCACCUUGUUUGUGUAUUCUUAAGUGUUUCUUCAAACGACUUAUUUGUGAAAUAAGGAUUGUUGUUUCUUGAAUAGUAAUUGUAAUUUUGUUCACCAUUUUCUGCAGCUCCCUCUCUAUAUAUCCAUUUUAUUUGGUAAGAGAUUCCAUCAUUUCUUUAGUUUCGCAACAAAUUUCUAGUGGAGACAACAAAUAAGAUCACAAAACUUGAUUGUUUUCUGGAAAUUUCCUACACAGCACUGCUUCAUGGGCCAAAAGUUGUUUGUGGGACUCCAUGUGUGAUUAUAUUUUUGAUCUACAAAUGCGAAGGAGACAUUUAUCAGCAUACGAUAAAGUUGAACAAUUCCUACAGGGUCAGAAUAACCUAUGCCAGUAAGGUAUUCCUACUCAGAUAUCAAGAAGAUUACUAGAGGUUUCAAGGAGAAAUUAGGUGAAGGAGGCUUUGGUACAGUUUACAAAGGAAAGCUUCGCAGUGGGCGUUUUGCAGCAGUAAAAUUGUUGGGAAAAUCAAAAGCUAAUGGACAGGAUUUCAUAAAUGAAGUUGCUACCAUAGGAAGGAUUCACCAUACUAACGUGGUGCAGCUAAUUGGUUUUUGCGCUGAAGGAUCAAAGCGAGCUCUUGUAUAUGAUUUCAUGGCUAAUGGAUCUCUUGAUAGACACUUUUUCUCGAGAAGGAUCAAUCUCUUUAAGCUGGCAAAAACUGCAUCAGAUUUCCCUUGGAGUGGCUCGUGGUAUCGACUAUCUUCAUUUAGGCUGUGACAUGCAAAUACUUCAUUUUGAUAUCAAACCUCACAACAUUCUUCUCGACGAAAAUUUCACUCCAAAAGUCUCUGACUUCGGGCUCGCUAGGUUGUACCCAACGAAUGGCAGCAUAACAUCUCUUACUGCAGCAAGGGGCACCAUAGGAUACAUGGCUCCUGAAUUGUUCUACAAAAACAUUGGACGUGUCUCCUAUAAAGCUGAUGUUUAUAGCUUCGGAAUGCUGCUAUUGGAAAUGGCAGGCAAAAGGAAGAAUGUAAACGCAUUGGCAGAAAAUUCAAGUCAAAUCUACUGGCCAUAUUGGGUUCAUGACCAAGUAUCUGAUGGAAAGGCCAUAGAAAUCGGAGACGAUGCCACGGAGGAAGAACGUAAGAUCGUCAAGAAGAUGAUUAUGGUUGGAUUGUGGUGUAUACAAAUGAAACCCAUGGAUCGGCCUACAAUGAAGAAUGUUGUGGAGAUGCUUGAAGGAGAUUUGGAAAACUUGCAAUUGCCUCCUAAGCCUGUCUUCAAUCUAGAUGUGACGCCACCAAACAUUGAAGGAGAGUCAUCAUCGUUGUCAGGUGAUUCUACCGAAUCAACCAGUGUUGUUGAAAAUGCAUACUAAGUGAUAUGAUGUGGAAUGCUCUGCUUACAUGCAGGGAAAAUGCUAGAAUAAUGGUGCUUUCGGACUUGGUUAUGAUAAUUUAGUCUGCAAACAUUAUGAUAAUUUGCAAUACUUGCUUUUAUCUGAUCUGUGUUUAGCUAAUUUAGAGUUCAAGCUGCAGCUUGUUUCUUCGGUUUGGUCUAUAUAAUGAUCAUACAAAGAUGUUCUGUAUUGUGUUUAACUAUCAGAUUUCCACUAUCUAUGGCAAUCAUAGCAGUUAGCGAGGAUGGUACAUCCUCCAUGAUAACUGCUACAUGUUCUACAUAUUAAUUAUCGUAUUUGUCUCCAGCAAGAGUAAUAUUUUGGCUACAAAUCAACAAGAGACUGUCAUAGGCAUUAUAUAAACAAGUUGAUGCAUGAAAAGACGAGUCUCUAUUUAUAGGUAGCCACUACAAGUAACUUCGGAGACCACAAAUACAAGGCAAGUCUCUCUAGUAAUCCUUCCACUACAAGUAGCUUCGGAGAUAGAAAAUAGCGAUUUAUUUGCUGUCAUAGGGAUGAUUCUGAACAGAGGGGCUUAAUUUGAUUUUCUUCCACCAACAAUGCCUUCUUGUCAAUGUUCAGCCCCAUGAUAAUCGAUCUAGCGUCACCAUUUGCACAUUACCAUAUCUUGCAUAAGCCACGAGGAACCAAACACAACAAAACCGGAUUGAAAACCAUGACCAUAACGGGUGCUGUGAAAUGAAUAUUGAAACAGAUGGGUGAAUUUGAUGCAGAAAAGUAGAGAGGAGACAAUGAAGCUUGCUUACCGGUCAUGGCAUUUCACCAGGGAGCUCUGCUUCUUCAAAAAUGCUCAACUGUGUUCAACAACCUUUCAGGAUCUGCUUCAAUUUUCUUAAGAGAAUGGGAAAUAGUGAACGGGAUCCUCGUUAGCUGCGGGCAAUCACCCACAGUAAUUUUCUCAAGAGAAAUGCAUAGAAGACUUCCAGAAUAAAUGCUAUUCAAAUUAUGACAUUUGUUCUACGAGAUAUUCCCACUUUCUCAGGAUGAAAAUCAUCCCACAAAUCAUCAAGAAAGAUAACAUGGUUUUGUAUCGCACUCAAUGCUGUCCUUAGCUCCCCAGCUGUACUCAUCACAUCUUUUCCUUUCGGAAGACAUAAACCAAAAGCUUCGGCAAUGACAUCCUGCAAUGCAUGAAUGCUAAAUUCUUGUGACAUUGUUGUGACAAACAUGAAAAAAAAUGUCUGGUUUCUCUUGAAGCUGGUUAUGGAUAUGUGCAGCCAAAGUUGUCUUUCCCACUCCCCCAUCCCGUAAAUGCUAAUGCAUGAGACCUCACCACUCAACAACCAAGACCAGACAUCCUUCAUAUUUCUUUCAAUAGCUUGGCCCACUAGCUUCGUUGGAUUGUGGUGUAUACAAAUGAAACCCAUGGAUCGGCCUACAAUGAAGAAUGUUGUGGAGAUGCUUGAAGGAGAUUUGGAAAACUUGCAAUUGCCUCCUAGGCCUGUCUUCAAUCUUGAUGUGACGCCACCAAACAUUGAAGGAGAGUCAUCAUCGUUGUCAGGUGAUUAUACCGAAUCAACCAGUUUGGUUGAAAAUGCAUACUGAGUGAUAUGAUGUUGAAUGCUCUGCUUACAUGCAGGGAAAAUGAUAGAAUAAUAGCGCUUUCGGACGUGGUUAUGAUCGUUUAGUCUGCAAACAUUAUGAUAAUUUGCAGUCCUUGCUUUUAUCUGAUUUGUGUUUAGCUAAUUUAGAGUUCAAGCUGCGGCUUGUUUCUUCGGUGUGGUCUAUAUAAUAAUCAUACAAAGAUGUUCUGUAUUGUGUUUAACAAUCAGAUUACUGUUACAAAAGUAUGAAGUAUAAAGUAUUAUCCUUAUUCUGUUAUUUAGGCUGACUAGCAGCCCCUUCCCCUUAUACUAAUAUUAUUUAACUCAAGACUUUUUAAAUUCUCUAGAUUGUCAUCAAUUAGGGUUGUUGAUGGUGGUUGAUUGUUGAACUGCUGAGAAAAAAAAACUAAGAGAGGCUAGGGUAAAUGCUGUAUGUGGCAAGUGGUUAGUGUUGAGAGAGACAAAGAACAUUUAUCUUUACACUAACACUCAUCUCUCCGGAACACAAAAGGGACUUGCCUCUUUAUUUGGAGGACGCUAAAGAACAUUGAGAGAACCCUUAUUUUUACACUACACACAACGUGCAAAACACCUCUUUCAUCUUCUUCAUCUUUUUACCUACUUAUUUAUUUAGAAAUCAAACUAAAAAAACUAACUUGAGCAUUAAUAGAGGACUUCCAAAAUGAAAUAGUUGGGGACUAGAUAAUUGGCUUGCAAUUAUUUAAACAUUGCUAAUGCUUUUUUUAGUUACAUUUUAAACUAUGUGAGGUUGACUUGAGAUGAGCUGAUCUACUUGAUAGGUCUAAAAACAACUUAGACGGUUAAUAAAAAUAUAAUUUAACUCAAAAUAAAUAUUCAAGAUGAUUUAUUAAGAUAUCGAUAUAUUGGAUUGGUUUUGGUCAAUUUAAAUUAACAUGUUUAUCUGGUCAUGAGACCAUAAUAACUUCAUAGAAAGAAAAUCAAAACAAAUUAUGAAGUGUAAGUUCCAAUAAAUUCAAUGUUAAAUAAUAAAAUUAAAAAUUAAAUGAAUAAUAAAAAAAAAAAUUGAAAAAUUCAUCGGGGAGGAUGCGCUUUCUCUAAAAAAAAGAAUGAAUUUCAAACAGAUCAAAAGAAUGCGCUUUCUGUCAAGAAGUAUAAAACAUAUUGAAAUUUUAUCUCUACAAUAAUAGAACUUGAUGCAAGAGGAAGGAAAUGACAGGAGUAAAGCAAGAUGAGAAAGCGAAAUGAAGUCUCUCAACCCCUAUUUAUAUAGGAGGCCAAUGGGUGCGAAAUUAAUUUGAAUUAAUUCCUAACAAUUCAUUGUAAUCGCAGAAUCAAUGAAUUUGAAAAGAUUUAAUGAAACUAAUCAAACAUUAAAGAAAUAAUUUAAUAGAUAUAAUAAAAAUAGUUGUAUCAAUUUUUUAUUCGUCCAUGAUUGAUUUUAAACAUGUUAACAUUCAAGAUAUACAAAGAUGUAAAUAAAUUGAUUGAUCACUAAAUUAGUACAAGUAGAUUUUGGUUUUGGACAUUUUAUAAUAAAAUAAUAUCAAAUUUAUUUGGCUAAUUAAUGAUUUCAAUGUUUUAAACUAAUCCACUUUUCAUCUAUGUCAUAAUUUAAUUUUUGAUUUUUAUCUUUAUAAAAUAAAAAAAAUGAAGUGGGAAAAUUGGAAUGAAUGAAGAAAAAUUAAGAUUUAGAUCAAAACAAUACAAAUGAGAAGUUUUUGAGUAUCAAUCAGGGAGGAAUUGUAAAUUUGGGGUUUAAUUUUGCUUGAAAUUGAAAGAAUUGAUGAGUUUGAAGACUUAAUUAAGCUUAAAAUUAGUUUAAUUAACAAAAUCAUUAGCUUAAUUGAAGAAAUAUUAAAAAUAACUGAUUUAGGUCUAAAUUGCAAGAAAUAAAGUCCAAGGACCGUUGUGCAAAAGGCACCGCAAUGCAGGGGUCUACUUAAAAUUUAGCCCAGGGGUCCGUUUGAAACAUGUUAAAACCUCGAGGACUAAAUUGAAAAAUGGCCGCCCCAAUCUAGAAACGGCGCUGUUUUUCAAUUCCAUUCAUCGUCUUCUUCCUCUGGAAGCAGAGGAGACCCCCUGCAAAGGAAAAUAUCAAUCGCCGCACACAUGCCAAAUUCAAGACCGCGUUGUCUACCCACGGAACCCAUGGCAUUUGGUUGGUCUCCCUCACCCUCAUAACUCUCCCCUGACGCGAGGAUAAGCACCACCAAGAAUCCAGCAACGGCAGGACUGUUGGUGUUUCCAUUCUACCCAAACACGGAGCCAAUUCACUCUACACAAGAUGACGAUCCCAGGGAAUAUAAGGAUAAGAAUCCCUCUCAAGGUCUGACUCUAUAAAAGUGGGAGAGAAGGAAGAACAGGGGAUCGAAAAAGAGAGACGAUACAGAGAUAAAAACCAAAAAAUAAAAUAAAAAGAAUAGAGAGCAGAAGGGAGGAGAGGACUAGGUCUUGAGAAAGCAAAAACAUAAAGACAAAAAAGAGAAGCCGGGGAAAAGAAAGGGCGUCCGAGGAGUGCUUCAUCCAGCACCUGCAUUUUGCCGCUCAAGGUCGCUGCAAAAACAGGCAAGUCACUUUCAAUUCUCCCUCUCUCUGCAAUUUAAUUACUCUGAUUCUCUCUGCAAUUUAGUCACUUUGAAUUCUCUGAACAGUUCACGCACGCAUGCAAGUAAAAAAAAAGAGAGGAAAGAAAAGGGAGCCGGGUUACUGAUUUAGCUACGUCUGGCAUAGCCUGUACGGCUGGGUCUGAUCCCAGACCUAAUCAGUCCAAACUUUUUUUGCUAAGGGUAUAUUUGAUAAAAUAGACUCUCAUGCCUUGUUCAUGUAUUUUCAUUCCCCUUUUAUUUUGAGAGGCAUAGAAAAUUUAUUUCUUCUUAUUAAAAAUUUAAAAUUUUGUGAAUUUAUUUAGUGAUAUCAAAGACAGGAAUAUUAUAUUUUUUUGGAUUGUAUAAUAUUUAUAAAUAUCAGAGUUGAAAAUAUUCGUAGUUACUAUUUAUUGACGGUAGAGUCAGGAACAUAAUAUGAAAAAUUAAAAAAAAAAACAAAUUUUUAUCAAUUUUAAACAAAGCUAGCAAUACAACCUGUAUUAGGUAUAACGUUCAAGGAAUGAUAGUAUCUUUUAUUUGACAUAACCAAUUUCCUAUCAUAGAAUUUUUAUUGAUUAGUUAGAGUUUUUAAUAAUCAUAAUACUUAGUGGUAAUUAUUUAAACAUAGAUUUUUUUCUUUAAAAAAUAAGAUGCCAUAUACAUGUUUUUUUCAUUGAAAAUUUUUAUUGAUGGACGGCAAAAGUCAAGAGUGACAAUAUAAAUCAAAACAAUAUAAUACUUACAUAGUUACCUUUCUGUAAAAAGUAUUGAAUAUUAAUAUUAAUUUUUUUUAAUCAUGUUUCGAAGGCAAGUGUGCAAGCUUUACAUGUGAUAGCAAUCUCAAUGACUUCACUGCUACAUGCCUUCAUUAUCCUUGUAUUUGUUUUAGGUAAUAGAGGCAGUCGGCCUCUCCAUCAAUCUCUCUGUAUUUAUUGUAUCAGAUAAGAUAUUCCUGUUUUAGGAAUUUGUUUCUGUCAGAUUAUAUGUAUUAUUUUUGAAUUCCUUGUAACUUGAUAUCGAUGAAUGAAUGAAAGAAGAAUGUGGCCUUUACUCGAUCUAUUCUUCGUCCUGUUCUCAUCACAUGGUAUCAAAGCAAUUAAAUUUGCUGCUGCUGUUCUUCUCUAGGCACAACAACCAUGACAACAGACAACAACACUCUGCUUCCCUUCAUCAUCCAGAUUAUAGUCAAAAUGAUCAACUUCCUCCUCGUCUCUAUCUUGGCCACUGCCAAAUUUGUAGGAUUUAGGGACAUAACUAAAACCAAGAAGUGUCCAUCAUUUCGUUUUGUUUCAGUGCAGACACCCACCACCACAAAUGCUCCAAUGAUCACCUCUCCAACACCAUGGCAUCCUAGCUCGGGCACACUUCGCUGUCAACACCUCUUCUAUCACUCCAACGUUGCUGCUGGAAAAUGGUGCUUCUGAUCAUGUCAUUGCCGACUUAAGCAUUUUAUCAUUUCAUGCGUCCUACGAUGGUUUUGACGAAAUCAUGAUCGAUGAUUUUGUUGGGUUAUUUCCAGAACUCAAACACGCACAAUUUACGUGGUUCGGCAACUUGCCUACUCCACGGAGUUACUGGUUGUAUUAAUCAAGCUUACAAAGAAACAAUACAACAACAAGAGGAGGAGAAUCUUCUCAACUCAACUCUACACUCAAGCUCUCUCUCUGUGUUUCUCUCUUUCUCUUCUUCUCACUGUGUUCUUCGUGCUCUCUCAGUUCUUCACAUACACACACACACACACACACAGCUAUACAUAUACAAAUAAUGGGAGUGGGGGGUGUCCUCCACCAUGUGCUAAGUGGGAGAUUAUUCCCACUAGCACAUGGUGGGGCAAUUGUUGUCUCCAUAAUGCUAACAAUCUCCCACUUGGAGACAAACAAUGAAAUCCUUUUUUAUCCUUGAAGGCCAACUGAAGUUUUGCACAACUUCAGUUUCUCAAGUGUAACUCCUUUGGUUAACAUGUCAGCUGGAUUCUUGCUUCCACAGAUCUUUUCUAGCAUUAGUUGCUCGUCGUCCAGCAGUUGUCGGAUGAAGUGAUAUUUGAUCUGAAUAUGCUUCGUCCUGGAGUGAAAUGCUGGAUUCUUGGCAAGGAAGAUUGCACUCUGACUGUCGCUAUACAAAGUACCUUUUCCAUUCAACUUGCCCAAUUCUUUCAAGAAACUCUGCAACCAUACUAUCUCUUUUGCAAAUUCUGAGACUGCAACAUAUUCAGCUUCUGUUGUUGAAAGAGCAACGAUCUUUUGCAAGGUAGAACUCCAGGAAACAGCAGUACCUCCUAGAGUAUAAACAUAUCCUGUAGUGCUCUUUCUGCUAUCAACAUCUCCUGCUAGAUCAGCAUCUACAAAACCUUCAAGUUUCAAACCACCAGCUGUGAAACUGAGACAAGUUUCCGAUGAACCUUUUAAGUACCUCAUGAUCCAUUUCACCGCCUCCCAAUGCUGCUUUCCAGGAUUGCUCAUAUAUCGGCUUACAACUCCCACUGCAUGGGCAAUGUCUGGUCUGGUACAGACCAUAGCAUACAUCAAAGAGCCGAUAGCUGAGGCGUAUGGAAUCUUAUCCAUGUAUCCACUUUCUAGCUCAGUUUUUGGUGACUGAUCUUUGCUGAGCUUGAAAUGAUUCCCCAGUGGUGUACUUACUGGUUUAGCAUUAUCCAUACUAAACCUGCUGAGAACCUUCUUGACAUACUCUGUUUGUGAGAGCUUUAGUAUGCCUUUGUCUUUAUCUCUGAUGAUUCUCAUGCCAAGUAUUUGUUUAGCAGCUCCCAGAUCCUUCAUUUCAAACUGUUUCGACAACUGCUGUUUCAGCUUAUCAAUCUCCUCAAUGCUGGAUCCUGCAAUCAACAUAUCAUCUACAUAUAAUAGUAGAAUGAUGUAGGAGUUGUCAAAAUGUUUGACAUAGCAACAAUGAUCAGCUUGGCAUCUUGUAUACCCGGAACUGCACAUGAAGUUGUCAAACUUCUUGUACCACUGUCUUGGAGCUUGCUUCAAACCGUAUAGGCUUUUCUGUAGCUUGCAGACUUGAUUCUCCUUUCCUUGCAUUGCAAACCCCUCUGGCUGUUGCAUGUAAAUAUCUUCCUCCAAGUCACCAUGAAGGAAUGCUGUUUUUACAUCUAACUGUUCAAGAUGUAAAUUUUCUGCAGCUACUAUCCCCAGAACAACUCUGAUUGUUGUGAGCUUCACAACUGGAGAAAAAAUCUCAGAGUAGUCAAUGCCUUUCUUCUGUUGAAACCCUUUGACAACAAGUCUUGCCUUGAACCGUUUGCUUCCGUCAUGCUCAGUCUUCACUCUGUAAACCCACUUAUUUUGCAAGGCCUUCUUUCCUUCAGGUAAUGUUGUUAGCUCCCAAGUCUUGUUCUUCAACAACGAACUCAUCUCAUCCUUCAUGGCUAACUCCCACUUGCUUGAGUUUCCAUCUUGUAAGGAUUCUUCAUAAGAUAACGGUUCACCACCAUCUGUCAGCAAAAUAUAAUUCAGUAAAAGUGUGAACCGUUGCGGGGGCUUUAUCGUCCUCGAAGACCUGCGAACAGCUGGUUCAAGUUGCUCCGCAUCUUCUUGUGUGGAAGUGGGCACAGAUGUGCUUGAAUCUUCUUGUAAAGACUCUUGAUUGUUGUUCUGCUUAGUAACAUCGGGAAGCCCUUCUAAUCUUAUGAAUUCAGAUCUUUGUGGACUUGUAUCUGAAUCAGCCAUCUCUGUUUCUCCACUUGAUCUGUCUUUGUACAUAACUUUCUCAUUGAAGAUCACGUUCCUGCUUCUGAUAAUCUUUCUAUUCUGAUCAUCCCAGAACCGAAAUCCAAAUUCUUCAUCUCCAUAGCCAAUGAAGAAACAUUUCUUGGAUUUGGCAUCUAACUUGUUGCGAGCAUCAGAAUCUAUGUGAACAUAGGAAACACACCCAAAGACCUUCAAAUGAGAGAGUCGUACCUCUUUUCCUCUCCAUACUUCCUCGGGCAAUCUGAAUUCCAAAGGAACUGAUGGUCCACGGUUGAUCAAGUAAACUGCGGUAUGAACUGCGUCAGCCCAGAAUGUUUGAGGUAACCCUGAAUGCAACCUCAUGCUUCUAGCUCGUUCAUUGAUGGUCCUGUUCAUCCGUUCAGCAACGCCAUUCUGUUGCGGUGUGCCUGGAACGGUCUUUUCCAUUCUGAUACCAUUGACAGCACAAUACUCCUUGAAACCUCCAUCAAUGUAUUCUCCUCCAUUAUCAGAUCUCAAGCAUUUCAACUUUAGACCUGAUUCAGUCUCAACCAUAGCCUUCCAUUUCUUGAAUGUUUCAAACACAUCAGAUUUAUUUUUCAGAAAGUAACCCAUACCUUCCUGCUGAAGUCAUCAAUGAAAGUCACAUAAUACCGAGAACCUCCAAGAGAUGCUACUGGAGACGGUCCCCAUAAAUCUGUGUGUACCAGUUCUAGCUUUCUUGGUCUUAAGGUCCUGCCAACCUUCAAGAAACUGACCUUCUUCUGUUUUCCAAGAACACAGCUUUCACAAAUGUCUAGAUCGACAUUUUUUAACUCUGGCAGCUUUCCCUUCGACUGAAGUAUCUUCAUCCCCUUUUGACUCAUAUGGCCAAGUCUACAAUGCCAUAGCUGUGCUUGAUUUUCUGCUUCAGUUGAGGCAAUGAUGUCUGCAAAUCUUGUGGUCAUAUACAGGGUGCCGGUUUUCUUUCCACGAGCUAAAACCAUUGCUCCCUUUGAUACUUUCCACAUUCCUCCAGCAAAAAGUAUUGAAUGACCACUAUCAUCAAGUUGUCCGACAGAGAUCAACUUCUUCUUUAAUUCAGGAACAUGCCUUACAUUCUGCAAGGUCCAUAUAGAUCCAUUCAUUGUCUUGAUUUGCACAUCUCCUAUACCCACAAUAUUCAGUGGUGUUCCAUCGGCCAGAUAGACUACACCAUGAUCUCCUCCAACAUAAUUUUGCAGCAUUUCAUUGUGUGGCGUACAGUGGAAUGAAGCACCAGAAUCAAGAAUCCACUCAUCAAUUUGACUUUGUACAGCAAGAAUUAAAGCAUCUUGUACCUCAUCUGUGGUAGCGUUUGCAGAGUCAGCUUCAGGUUUCUUCGGUUUUGUGCAAUUCCUACUGAAAUGACCAGGUUUGCCACAAUUCCAACAUUCAACCUGCUUUCUGGAUCCAAACUUGCUUUUACUUCUGUAUCUGGAUUUUGAUCUGCCUCUGGAUGAGCCUCUAUCGUGUCUCCUCCCUCGAGUGUUGAUGUUGAGAGCUGAUCCUGAGCUUGAACUUUCACCCGAGUCUUUCCUUCGCACUUCUUCAGCCAAAAUCAAGUCUCGAAUGUCAUCAUACUUCAGUUUGGAUUUUCCAGCUGAAUUGCUCACGGCUGUCCUCAUGCCUUCCCAACUGCUUGGAAGUGAAGCUAGCAAGAUGAGUGCACGAAUCUCAUCAUCAAACUCAAUCGCAACAGAUGAUAAUUGAUUUGUGAUGGUAUUAAAGUUGUUGAGGUGUUGUGUCACAGAAGUUUUCGACCAUCUUCAAGUUGAACAACUUUUUCAUCAGGUGCACUUUAUUAUUUGCUGAUGGCUUCUCAUACAUCCCAGACAAGGCUUCCAUCAAUUUUGCAGUGGAUUUUUCUUUCGUAACAUUGUGAGCAACUCUUCUUGAUAACGAUAGCCGGAUAAUGCCCAGAACUUGUCUAUCAAGAAGUUGCCAUUCUUCUUCUUCCAUCUUUUCUGGUUUGCUUCCCAAUAAGGGAAGAUGAAGUUUCUUCCCAUAUAAAUAAUCUUCAAUUUGCAUUUUCCAGUAUCCAAAAUCUGUUCCGUCAAAUUUUUCAAUUCCAGCAGCCUUUAUUUCAUCUGCCAUUUUUACUUCUCCGAUUCGAAUUUCCCAAAUCUGACCUUACAGAUGUGUCCAGAACGGCCAAAAACCUUGGAAAUGACACUGAGAUCACCCCAAUCGGACUUCGGAUGGCUCAGAUUUUAGCAAUCAAAGUUUUGGAUUAACGGACGGUGCAGAUGCAGCCGCGUGUCAGCCAGAGUACCGCCUGCGUCACACCGGAUAAAAACUCAGUAGCGGUUCUGAUGAAGACACGUGUCAGCAGAUUACAGCCUGCGUCGCACCGGAUCAAAACUCAGUAACGGUGCAGAUUAAGCCACGUGUCCGCAGAUUAGAGCCUGCGUCACACCUGAUCAAACUCAGUAACGGUGCAGAUUCAGCCACGUGUCACAAGAUUAGAGCCUGAGUCGCACCGGAUCAAAACUCAGAAGCGGUCUAGAUUCAGCCACGUGUCAGCUGAUUAGCUCCUGCGUCGCACCAGAUUAAAACCCCUCAACGGUGAUGAUGUAGCCACGUGUCACACGAUUACCGUUUGCGGUGCACUGGAUCAAAACCCAGGUGGAUGACAUGUCAGGUGACGUGGACGUUGACCGUGCGACUUGCUGACGUGGCGGGUCAGACCCGACCCGUUUUGCAGAAACCGGGCGAAGAAGAAGCGUGGCGCGCGUGCGGCGCGUUGGUGCGCGUGGGCAGUGCUAGCGUCGGCGCGUGCGGGCAUGCAGGACGUCGAUUCUUCGCCGGGGUUUCAACAGUGGAUUCGUCCGGUUGUCCUCUACACGAUGGUAUGUUCAAAAACACAUUUUGAGAACUUUGAUUUUUGAGUUUGGAUCAAACACCCUCUUUGUCAAGAACAAGCUCUGAUACCAGUUGUUGGGUUAUUUCCAGAACUCAAACACGCACAAUUUACGUGGUUCGGCAACUUGCCUACUCCACGGAGCUACUGGUUGUAUUAAUCAAGCUUACAAAGAAACAAUACAACAACAAGAGGAGGAGAAUCUUCUCAACUCAACUCUACACUCAAGCUCUCUCUCUGUGUUUCUCUCUUUCUCUUCUUCUCACUGUGUUCUUCGUGCUCUCUGUGUUCUUCAUACAUAACACAGCACACACACACACAACUAUACAUAUACAAAUAAUGGGAGUGGGGGGUGUCCUCCACCAUGUGCUAAGUGGGAGAUUAUUCCCACUAGCACAUGGUGGGGCAAUUGUUGUCUCCAUAAUGCUAACAGAUUUCACCUUUCUUACAACUCACACUGAUUCCACCUUUCUUACAACUCCUAAGAACAUUUAAACACUGUACCAAACAUGAAGAAAAAUUUAAUAAUUUUACUUAUCAAAUAAUGCAUUCAUUGAAUUCUUACCCUUUUCCUUUCUUACGAAGGAAGUUCGUACAAGGGAGAUUCUUUUGAAGGGCAAAAUGAAGGAUGGGAUGCAUGAAUGGUAUGUUGAAAAAGAAGAGUAGGCUGUGGUAGUUAAUUUAUAAGAACAUAGCUAAAGAAUAAAGUUAAAAAACAAGAAGAAUAAUGAGAUGAAUGAUAUUUUAUUAAGAGUUUUCUUAAAAUAUAUAUAUUUUUAGCUUUUUUUUAUAUCUCUAUAUAAUGCUUAAGAUUACAUGACUUAUUAUAGACCUCAAGUUCUAUAUAAUAAUAAAAAUUAAACUAUUUUAAAAAAAAUUCUAAUCUAAUAAGAAAUUUAAUAUUCUAAUUAAAUACAGAUUCUAAUACACUAAUCUAUUACAAAUCUACAAAUCCUUUUUAAAUCGAGGGUUCUAAAUUGAAAUGGUUUAUUUUUUUGGUGGAAACUUUUGGUGAAUGUAUUGUUUGUUUUGGAUGAUCUUGUUGUCUAGAUUGAGUUUCCUGGUAGAGAACAGAAGGGGUUUCUUGCUGAUGUAAUGGCACUUGCAUUUAUCUAAAGUCAUAUGCACUCAUAUGCACAGGCCCUUCAAAGACUAAAGUUGAGUUUUCAGAGCUUCAGGUUCAGGACAAGUCAUAUGCACUCAUUGCACAGGCCCUUCAAAGACAGGCUAGGAAGUUCAAGACUAUAGUAGCCGUGGUGGAUGCUAGUGGCUUAGCAGGUAUUAGGAAACAUUGGAACACUCCUGUUCCUCCAGAAGUGAAGGAUUUGGUUGGGAAGCUUGUCACUGAUUGUGAAAGUGACGGAGAAGUUCCCAAUCAUGAUGAAAAGAGACGGCUACUUUCAAACAAACCUAUGGUGGCAGUUGGAGCUGGGGCAACAGCAAUUUUUGGAGCUUCGUCUCUUUCCAAAGUUGUUCAUGCAUCGACAUUCAUGAAGGUUGUUACAUUUAAAUUUCCUACUGCCCUUAAGCUUUUGCUGAUCCAAACUCAAAAGAUAAUGGCAAUAUCUAUGGGCAAGACUCUUGGUCCAACAAAACUGCUGGCCCCUGGACUGGCCAAUUCUGGAGCCAUGCAACAUCUGCGUUGAAAGCAGCUGUUUCUGCUGAGAAAAUCCGGACAGUGGUCCACAGUGUUAUAGCCUCUGCUGAGAAAACCAGUUUUUCAACUAUGAGAACAGCUUUCUAUGAAAUAAUGAGAAAACGGCAGGUUCAACCUAUUGGUGUCCUACCUUGGGCAGCAUUUGGUUGCAGUGUUGCAACUUGCUCAGCAUUGCUCAUGUAUGGAGAUGGGAUUGAAUGUGCUGUUGAGUCUCUUCCUGCAGCCCCGUCAAUCGCCAGUUUGGGUCGUGGGAUUCAAAGCUUGCACCAGGCAUCUCAAGUAGUUGGGCAGACAGAUGGCACCAGAAUACAAAAAUCUAUAGUCUUUGAUGAACAGGUUGAGGAAAGUAAAGAUGCAAUAAAGUAGGACUCGCAUCUUUUAUUUUGUUGUAUACAAGCUGAUACUGCUCAAAAGUUAUUAGUACUGGAAUUUAGAGAAAUCUUCUGUAUAUAAAUAGAAAGCAGGAGGGGUGAUUUGUAUUGUCAUGGGUGUUGAUCUUUUUUUGAAGUCAAUUUUCUAAAGGGUUCUUUACAAUGCUGCCUGGUAAACAUAUUACAAUUGUUUCCUCUCCCUGCUUCCCUCUCCCUUUAUCUCUAUGUUUAACUCCAUUUGACAAUUUCGCAUAGGUAUUACUUGAGAUUGCAUUGUUAAUUCUGACGCAGUCGAGAUUGGCUUUCUUUGCUCUCAAGCAAGGCUGCCAUUGUUAUGAAUAGCAGGCUGCUUGCCAGAAGCUCUUCUCCGGUUUCACAGUCCUUGAUUCGAUCUACUCUCCAUUACUAAAUUGUUUGUGUAAUUUAAAUCAUAACUGAAAGUUUUCGAAUCCUAUGAUGAAGCCAAGCACAUUAACUAUAAACCAAAAGAGGAGAUGGUUUUAGUGCAUCCCUCCUCACACAUCACUAUUUAUUAGAAUAUUAUUUUUGUUUUGUUUUUUAUUUCUUUGAUUUCUUUUUCAACUCCUCACACAUCACUAUUUAUUAGAAUAUUAUUUUAUUUUAUUUUAUUUUUAUUUCUUUUUCAAUUAUUUUUUUAUCCUUUAGUUUUUUUUUUUUUGCUAUUGUUUUUUUUCUUUUUUUUACAUGUUUUUUUUUCUUUUCUUUUUUCGCUGUUGUUUCUUCUUCUGUUUUUUUUUUACAUGUUUUUUUUCUUUUUUUUUUACCCAAAAUUGACUUUUUCUUCUUCUUUUUUUUUCAAAAUUAUCUUUGCUAAUUUUUUAAAAUAUUGAGCUGGUUGAAAAUUUAACUAUAUAGUUUUUUAAAAAAAACAUUGUGGAUUGCUAUAAUAUUCUCAUACAUUGUUUUUUUUUCUUUUUUAUGAUUUUUUUUAAAUGAUCUUUGUAGAUUUUAUUUUUUUUAUAUUAAGUUGGUUGAGAAUUUAGCUUUGUAGUUUUUUUUGUUAUUUUUUAAAAAACAAUAUGGAUUGCUACAGUGUUUCCCCUACAUAGUUUUUGUUUUGCUGCAGUGUUUUCCAACAUAUAUUUUUUAAAAAGUUAUCUUUAUUGAAUUUAUUUUUUCAAUAUUGAGCUGCUUGAUAAUCUAGCUUUAGCUUUUCCCACAUGUUUUUUUAUUUGUUUUUCUUUUUUUUCCAAAAUUGUCAUUUUUUACAUAUUUUCUUCUUCUUUUUUUCAAAAUUAUUUUUGUUGAUUUUUUUUCUUACUAUUGAGCUGGUUGAAAAUUUAGUUUUUUUGUUUUUUCUUAAAAUAUUGUAUCUUUCUCCACGUGUUUUUUUUUCUGCUUUUGUUUCCUUUUUUUUACAUGUUUUUUUUUCAUUUCUUUUACCCAAAAUUGACAUUUUUUUUUUAAAAUAGUCUUUGUCGGUUUUUUUUAUAUAUUGAGCUAGUUGAGAACUUAACUUUGUAGCUUUUUUUUUUUUUAAAAAAAAAAACACUAUGACAUUAAUGUUCACAAUAUCAGUGCUGGUACUAGCAGUUUGAUGGGGUUAUCUUGAUCUUAUGACCCGGGUUGCAAGUUUGACAUGUUAACUCAGGUUAUUUUUUUAAUUAUUUUUUUUCAAUUUCAUCCUUCAAUUUUGGGUUGAUUGAGAAUUAAAUUCAUAAUUUAUUUUGAUUUGUUUUCUAUAAGGUUAUCAUAAUCUCAUAACUCAGGUCAUGAAUUUGACUUGUUAAGCUGGAUUGUCCCAAGUCAAUCUAAUAUGUUGUUAUUUUAAUAUUAAAAAAGAUAUUAUCUUGAAAUUUUGUUUAGUCAAAUAUUAUUUUUACAGGUUAUAUGGGUUGUUUUUGAAUCAAUAAAGUUAACCGGGUUGAAUCAAUAAAGUUAACCGGGUUAUAUCAAGAAAAUUCUGACUUUGUCAGAAUUUAAUUUUUUUCAUGCUAGAAAAAAAAUAUUAACAUUUAAAUAUUUGUUUUAUAUUCAAGAAAAAUUUGACUUUGUCCAUAACGUAACACAAUUAAAGUUUAUUACUAGUUAUUUUGGGAGGCUAGAAAAUUCUGCUAGAUGUGCAGACUAUUUCCUUAAUAUUAAUUAUUGAUGACAAAUAUAACUUUAUGUCCAGUUAUAAGCUGCUAGAAUUUGAACUGCCUUGGUUUAUAAUUUUUUUUUUUUGUGGAGAUGUGAAAGUAUGAAUCCUCACCAGUUGAGUGACAAACUACUGUUUAUUGGGAGAAAUGAUUCUUGAACUUUUCUUGGCCAUCUGGCAGCCUAUGAUAGAUUUCCUAAAAUUUAUUUAUGCGGCCUUCUAUCUUAAAGAAUUUGACAAGAAACGAUCGGUAGAAAUUUAUAAAAAAUUUACUUUUUAAAAUUUGAUUUAUAGUUAAAUAGAUGUUAUUAAACUUGGCUGGAUACAUCAACUUAGAAUCUAGUUAAAUUCAUCCAUUUAUAAAAAAAUCUACUUCUCAUCUAAAACUUGGCUUAAACCUGAUUAAAAAAAUUAGGUAAAAAUUAAUCUAGUUAAAUAAGAGAUCCGGUAAAUUAACUUGCAAUCCAAUCAUCUUAGUUAAAAUUUAAUUUGAUUAUUAAAGUUGUUUUCCUUAAAGCAAUGACAUUUUUUUUUUAAAUUGUGAAAUAAUUCACCCGAGUAAACUUUGUUUUUCUUAAAGCAAAAACAUUUUUUUUAAAUAGUGAAAUAAUUCACCAGAGUAAACUUUGAUUUAAACUUGAAAAUCUUGAAAUAAUUAAUUUGAAGUUAAUUAUUAGUACUCUCAUCCAAUUCUCAAUUAUAAUCAUGACACAUGUAAUUGUUUUUAUUGUUUAAGGGCUAAUUAUUUUUAUGUUUUAAAAAUAUUUUAAAAAAAUAAUUUUUUUAAAUUUUUUUGUUUCAAAUUAAUUGGUAUUUGAUAAUUUCAUAUUGUUUUAAUGUGUUGAUGUCAAAAAUAAAUUUUAAAAAAUAAAAAAUAUUAUUUCGAUACAACACAGUUAUCAUAUUCUAAAACAUACAAAGUAUUUUGUCAAAAAACUUCACAUGAAAUCAAGACAACACACAAGCAAUUCAUUCUAUCAAUCUGGAAUUGCAUUACAAAAACGUGAAAAAAUAAAAUAAAAUUCUGGAGUUAACUCAGAAUCUAGUAUUAUAAGUAAUUAAUUAUACAUGCAUCAGCUAGCGUUAAUUUGAUUCCAAUCACACCUUAGAAUCCAACCUCCGUGCUUCUUUUCGUGCGAGAUGGAUAAGAAACAGUUCACUUCGAGAUCAAGCACAUAUGCUUCAGCUAGACAGUACCCAUGAGUUGCCAUGGCCUGAAAACAUGUUCCAGGUGUCUUUGUUGAGAGACCAGUGGAAAUGAACUAGGGUUGAUGAUGAGCUGAGAGGCUCUGUUUAGGUCAUUUUAUAAGGGUCUGUUGGCUUGGGGAGGAAGGACGUCGUGUGAUGUUUAGUGGUCCAAAUGGAACUUGAAAGUGAAGUAUUUGUAAUUUUUUAGUGGACAAUGUCAUGGCAGCGUAGAAACUUUGUGGAAAUGGACAAUUAAAAAAACAGGGGAUGUAAGAAACCCUUGUUUUUAGUUAUUAGUGAUUAUGUGUGCAACAUCCGGAAUUUUGCAUUGAAAGAAAGGAAGAAAUUAUGUAGAGGAAACACACCCUUGGACUUGUAAAUGUUAUACAUACUUAAUACAUGAACUCCUAACCAGUUACCGAAGGUAACCUCAACUUAUAAUUACUCUGUUUAGAGAAAGCUGCCAACUCUUGUUGAAGCCAUUGCAUGCAUUCUGAUGAACUUGGACUGGGCUUUCCACUAUUGCAAUCUUGGGCUACAAGCUCUGGGAUGCUUCUAACAGAGACACAAUAAUGGGAGAAAUGAGUGUGUAGCUCUUGAAGACAAAAUGUCAAAUCUUUCAUUUGGUAAGGGUGAUCGAUGUUUGUUCUUUGAAGAUCAUGCAGUUAUUGAUCCUGUCUUGCAUCUUAAACUCUUUUGACGAGGAGCUUGCGUGCGAGAUUCAGAGGAAGAUUGAUGAAGAUGGACCGGGCUUUCCACGAUUGCAAUCUUGGGCUUCUUCUAGGUUUGUAAUUCCAUUGUAAUCGUUCAAGUUGGCCAUGACAAAGACACAAUCAUUGAAGAAAUAAGUGUGUAGCACUGGAAGAUUGAAUGAAGAAUCUUUCAUUUUGUAGGGGUGAUCGUAGUUUUAUUUAUUGAUCGGGUCUUGCAUCUUGAUGUCGGCAAAUGCUUUUUUUGUUUUUCCGACCUAUAUAGCAAUAAAAUUUGAAAUCACCGACAAAAAAAAAACUGACGGACAUAUUCUAUCAGUAAAUAAUUUACCGAUGAACUCUUAAUCAUACACCGAUAGAAUAUUUUCAUCGGUAAAACUCCGAAAUCUUGUAGUGUGAAUAUGACUUGCUAAGGAAUGUUGUUUAUAACGAGAGAGACUCCUUCAGAGAGUUGGAGAAUGAGUUUUCUCAUGUCUGCUAGCUUGCACGUUGUUUUAUCCUGUUUCUUAAAGGAACUGAAGUUGUUUUUGUACACAUAAUAGAGCUAGAUGUUAUGUUUUUCAUAAAGAGAGUGAAAAAGUUCGAAGCUAUUGUUAUAUUGAUACAACACCAUUGUUGAGCACUUUCACCUGAUAUAUGAUUUACUGGAGAUUUUGAGCAGUUGGAAUAUUGAGAGAUUUGUUAUUAUUUCAUGUUCUGAAGUUUCAAAUCGUUAUCCAUUAAAAGAAUUUUUGGUUACUCUUACUAGCUUUCCACUAAUAAAGUCAAGAAAACUUCAUGGUUGAAUUAAGCUUUUUGAGACUUCAAUCUUGGAUCGGUGGAGUGAUAAGCUUUGUGAGGGCGAGCCCGUUUAUAGGAUUUGUACAUAUGUUUUGUUAACCCAGGUACUUUCAAUUUUAAUAUAUAUAUAUAUAUAUAUAUAUAUAUAUAUAUAUAUAUAAAAGUUACAUUUAAUUUAUGAAAUUAUUAUUUUAUAUUUAUAGUAAUGUUAGAUCUUAACUUGUAUUGGUGUAAAUAUUUUAUAUGACAUAUGAUUGGUUAAUUAUUGAUUUUAUUCUUAAACAUAUUUGGAUAAAUGAUUUAAUAACUAAAUAAAUCUUAAUUUAAUUAUAUUAUCUUCUUAGCCAUAAGUUUUUUUUUUUAUGAUAUAUAUAUAUAUAUAUAUAUAUAUAUAUAUAUAUAGACACACACACAUUUAUCAUUUUUGAUAGGUGUAGAAGUUGCUAUUUUAAAUUAUUUAAAAUAAAAAUUUUAAUACUCAUAUAAAAUAAUUAUAUUAUCAUUUUUCCUUAAAAAGAUCUAAAAAAGAUAUGAGCUUUGGUAGAAUUUUUGUUUUGGUAGGAUUUUAGGUUUUGGGGCGUUUUAUUGGGUUUUUGGUGGCCAUGGAUUGACUUAACAAGGUCUCUAGGGUCUUUUCUAGGUGUCUUGGAUAAAAUAUAAGUUGAAAAUUGAUUUUUGGGUAAAAAAAAUAAAAGACCUUGUUUUCCCGGCCAUCAUAAUAGCUGAAUUCUAGGUUGCGCAAACGACGCAUCAUUGUUUCGAGGCAAUAUAAUUUUUUUUUUAAAUAAAGACCUGCGCAUUAGCCGUUGCUUUAUUGGGUCAGAUGUUAGGUGUGGCUUGCCUGGCCCAACAGUGCCUGGCCUGAUUUUUUUUUUUUUAAUUUUUAGUUUUGUGUGUAAUUAAUCAAAUAAAUAUUAGGUUUAUGUUUUAAUUAGAUUGUGAUUAAUUUUAAAUGAUAUUGAUUAUGUUUAAUUUUUAAAGAGGUAAGUAUGAUUCAUUUGUGAUUUUUUUCUUAAUUUUAUAUAGAUUAAAUUUGUUUUUUUAAUAAGAAUUUUUAUAUGUGCAGCCUUACAUUGUUUUUUUUAAUUAUUAUUCAAAAAUUUUUAUGUGAGUGUUAGUUUCUAUUACAAAUUUAGUUUGAUAGAGGGGUUCAUUAAACACAAUCAUGUAAAUUACCCAUAUUGUAAUUUUAACACUCAUUAUUUUUAUUGUAGUUUCUUGAUUUUUUAUUUUUGUGUUGUUUUUCCUGUGAUUUUAACCCUCAUAUUUUUUCUAUGUAUAAUGCUUUUUUCCUAUAACCUAGUUCAUUGUUUAAAAAGUUAACAUGAAUUGACUUUUUUUGUCUUAUUUUUUUUAUAUUUAUUUAUUUUUCUUUUUAUAUAAUUAUUUUAUUCUCUUUUAAUUUUUAUUUUAUUAACAAAUAAGAUUAUUGAGAUGUUUUGAAAAUAUUAUGAAGAUAUAGUUAUAUAAUAUUGACAAACGUUCGCAUUGAAUUAUUUUUUUUUUCUUAUUUUAUUUGUUGUCAACAUCAUUAAAUUAACUAAUUUUAUUAAAUUUAUUAGAGCAAAUUACCUAUAUAUUAUUUUUAAAAAAAUAAUUUUUAAUAUUUUUAUAGUAAUUGGUACUUGUGGCUGGACCCGCCUAACUAGUCUUAGCUGUAAACAUAUCAUGUUAUGCCAUCCAUGUCACAAACUCAUUUAAAGCUUGACGCAUUGGUCAAUUAUUUUAUAUUUCAGUGUUUUGUGACAUUAACAAUGAAGUUAUUGAUUGAAGCAUUGGUCCACACUCUUAGUGUCUUUCAUGGCGAAGACCCCCCCCCCCCCUCCAUGUGCACUCAGGUCAAUGAUGAACAAUUGUAGGGUUCUUGGUUAUUACGCAAUAUUUUUUUUGGGCGCCAAACCUGACCUUUGAAGAUGUCAUUGACAGUGCCGCCCCAUCUUUUAUUUUUUUGUUUUUUUAUUGUGUGGGUGGCGCAAUAAUUUAAUAUAUGUUUAUUUUUAUAUUUCAAAAAUAUUUUUUAAAAAUUUAAAAAUUAAUAUAUUUUUAGUGUUUUUAAAUUAUUUUGAUAUGUUAGUAUUAAAAAUAAUUUUUAAAAAAUAAUAAAAAAUUAUUAAUAUAUAUUUUGACACGAAAAAUUAUUUGUAAAACAAUCACACUACUAAAUAAUAUCAAAUAAUUGUUGGAUUGUAGAGGAUUGUUCUCAUAAUUUUUUUUAUAUUUGUUUUUAUUUCAGUUUUUAUUCUAUUAAUUUUUUAUUUUUUUAUUUGAUACUUUUAUUUAAAAUUUUAAUCGCUUUCAAUAAAGCUUGUCGGUGGUAAGACACACUCCGAAGCAACCUGUGGUUCCACGACAAAAAUAUGAGCUCUUUCUUUUCCGUGGUCCACCACCUUUAAUUUCUUUCAUGGCAAGACUUUUGCCCCCAUGAGUAAGCAGGUCAAUGACGAAGAAUUGUAGGGUUCUUGGUUAUUUCUCCCUGCAAUUCCUUCACAAUUAUGUGAUAUAUUGAUUUUUUUCGCAUUUGAAAUGAGUUAGAGUAUUAGAUGUUAAAUAAUAUUUAUAUAGUUUUAUUUAAUAAAAAUAAAAUAAUACUUUCAGUUUGAAUCUAUAUAUAUUUUAUUUAUAUUUAGGUUAGGAUUAUACACUCAUAAUAUAUAAAUUAUUCAAAAUUUUAGUAUUUUUUAUAUAUUUGAUUUUAAUUAUUUUAACACUAAAUUACUUAAAUAUGAUGAAUAAAGGGUUGGAUUUGUAAAAUUAUUUACACAUUUUAAUUUGUCGAUCGUCAUUUUCUGCUGUAUCAUCGACGUUCUUCCUUCCUCCAACCAUUUCGAACACUAAUAUCCCAAAGCUGUAAACAUCUGAUUUAUAGGAAACACUCCCGAAGUUCCUCGAGAACACUUCUGGGGCAAUGUAGCCAACAGUCCCCCUAGCAGUCGUCAUGGAAAUGGCACUUUUAUCCUUGGAACACAACUUACCAUCCCAAAAUCGGCGAUUUUGGGAUUGAAUUCGUUGUCAAGCAGGAUAUUCUGUGGUUUGAUAUCAAAAUGGAGGAUUCUUUGAUCACACCCCUGGUGAAGAUAUUCAAUCCCCUUGGCUAUGCCUAUAGCAAUUAUUCUUUAUAUAUAUAUAUAUAUAUAUAGAGUAAUUGACUUUUUUUUUUCAUUUUUUUUCUUUCUAUACAAUUAUUAUAUUUUUUUUAAUUUUUAUUUUACUAACAAAUAAGAUCAAUGAGAUAUUUUAAAAAUAUUAUAAAGAUAUUGUUUUAUAAUAUUGACAAACAUUUAUUUUUUAUAUUGAAUCAUUAUUUUUUUCUCAUUUUAUUUAUUAUAAAAAUAAAAUAUACUUCCAUAAUAUUUAUAAUUAUUCUAUUCUCAUUAAUCAUGGUAAAAAUAAUUGGCCCGUGGCGCGACAUCCUAACUAGUCUUAUCUAUAAACAUAUCAUGUUAUGCCACAUACUCAUUACACAUUGGUCAAUUAUUUUAUACUGAUUGGAACGUUAAAGAGCCGGUCAAUUAUUUUAUAUUUCAGUGUUUUGUGACAUUAGCAAUGAAGUUACUGAUUGAAACAUUAUUCGUAAUUUAUUUUUGUGUUUUAAAAAUAUUUUUAAAAUUUUAAAAUUUAUUUAAUUUUUUAAAAAAUUAAUAUAUAUUUUUAAUAUUUUUAGAUUAUUUUAAUACAUUAAUAUCAAAAAUAAUUUUUAAAAAAUAAUAUAUAUAUAUAUAUAUAUUUUUAAAUAAAAAUAUUUUAAUAAAUAACUAUAAUUAUACUUUCAAACAAAUUCAGUUGCUUUCCUGACGAAGACAUUUCCCCGUGCGCACUCAAGUUAAUAAUGAUGAAGAAUUGUAGGGCUCUGGGUUAUUACGCGUUAACGAGUUGUUGGUGUCCCCAACAUUGGAGAUGCCACCAUAUCUUUUUCUUUUUCUCUUUUAAAGCUGUGAGCGUGAUAACAUGUGAUUAUUGAAUUGUCGCUUAUUGUUUCCUUAUUAUUUUUGAUAUUUUAUUUUUAAUUUUUAAUUUUUAAUUUUUAAUUUUUAAUUUUAUUCUUAUAUUUUAUAUCAAAAUUUUAUUUAUUUUUCAAUUAUAAUUUUAUUUAUUUCAGUUUUUAUUCUAUUAAUUUUUAAUUUUUUUAUUUGAUACUUUUAUUUAAAACUUUAAUCGCUUUCAAUAAAGCUUGUCGGUGGUAAAACACACUCCGAAGCAACCUGAGGUUCAACGACAAAAAUAUGAGCUCUUUCUUUUCUGUGGUCCACCACCUUUAAUUUCUUUCAUGGCAAGACUUUUGCCCCCAUGCGCAAGCAGGUCAAUGACGAAGAAUUGUAGGGUUCUUGCUUAUUUCUUCUGGUCCAGAAGUCUCUGCCGUGUAACAAUCUAUGGGUAGAAAUUAAUGGCAAAGGGAAGAGAUGAAAGAAGAAGGUCCAUCAAAAUCCUUCUAUCCUCCCUGCAAUUCCUUCAGAAUUCUAGGACUUGUUUAUUUUUGUAUUUUUAAAAUAUUUUAAAAAAAAUUAAUUUUUUUUAUUUGUUUAAAAUUAAAACACGUCAAUUACAAGAUAUUAAAUAAUCAAAGAAAACAUCCAAGUUUAACAUCAUAAAAUAAUAAUAAAUUAGUUCAUUGUAUAGAGAACAAUAAAUUUGUCUUAAUAAAAAAUUAAAUGAAAUCAAUCGUAUGAAAGUGAAAUAAAACAAUAAGUGAUGCCUAAUCCUUUGAUCUCCCACCAACAAUCUUUUAGCAAUAUUUUGUUGAAAACGUGUACCUCUGAUCUUACAGUUUUGUUCUUAGUUUUAUUGUCUUCAUUUGUAUUCUAUCAUUUGAAUUUUCAGACUAGUAGGUAAACAUAAAUGCAUCUAGCAACAAUUUCUCCAAGUUUUUUUUAUUGAAUCUAUGAAGAGAAUUUCAAGAAGUUAAUUAUAAAUUUAUAUAAACUCUUGUAUUAAAACAAUCAAAUUAUAUUAUAAAAUUAAUUUUGUUAUUAAUACUGUGUUGAAUUCAGAAUUUGUGAUCUAAAUAGUUAAUUUGAUCAUAGUUUGGCGAGUUUUUUUUAUCUUUUUUGAUCUGAAAAAUAUUUAUCUUGAAAUUUUGUUAGAAAAGAAUAUCAUUGCAUUGACAUGGUCUUGAUGAUGACUUACCAAAAUAAUUUUGAAUUGUCGAUGCUCCAUAGAGUGUUUAAGGCACAAGCCACUCUCUCCCAGGGAAGCAAUGAUUUUUAGUCCAAGUUAUCAUGUGCGUGCUUGAAAGUUUUUUUGUCCCGUAAUUGCAGCAAAAUUUGAAUUUUGCACCUAAAACGAUCGAUAGCAAAAACAAUCUGUAAUUUUUCUUGUAAAGAUCUGUAAAGUAAUUAUAAGAUCUGGACUUGGAUUUAGAACUUGAAAAAUCUUCUAAAUGAAUAAUAGAAAAGAAAAGAGAAGAGAAGAAAAGAAAGAAAGCUAAGCUUUACAACUGGAAAAAACAUUAUCAGCACUGGAUAAAUAUGAGAUGUUUAAGUUAAGUUGAUGCUGAAAUUCUGAAAUGUUUAUUUCUAUCACCCUCCCGAUCACUCCUUACAUAAAUAGCAUGACGUCAUAGCUUCACUAUGAGGUAAAGGUUCCAAUACCAAAAUACAAAACAAUCCCUAGAAAUAAUAAAAUCCUAAUUUCAUCCCCGGAAUAAUAGCAUAUGGCUAGAAAUCAUGGAACAUUGUCAACUGUGCUCAGCAAACUUUCAGGAUCUACUUCAAUUUUCUUAAGAGAAGGGGAAAUAGCGAUCGGGAUCCUCGUUAGCUGCGGGCAAUCACGCACAGUAAUUUCUUCGAGAGAAUCGCAUUGAAGUCUUCGAGAACAAAUGCUAUUCAAAUUUGGUAAUUUCUUCAAUACCAAAACCCUCAAUUUAUCAAUGGGAGUGCAUGUCGUCGGAACAGAACGACCCAAAAGAGUAAUGGGCAUGGAGCCACUUCCCAUUAUCUCCUGCAUGUUGUGACAAUCUUCGACUACAAUCACUUUCAAUCGGACUGUAGACAACAACCAAUGAGGGAGCAGCACCUUCAUCCUAUGACAUUUAUGUAUCACCAUCUCUCUGAGUCGGCGAAAGACACCAGCAUUACGUAGCUCUGAAGGUGCUUCAAAAAGGGUUUCUAAGAUUAUCAAACGAUCAAGGUGUAGAAUCUCAAGACCUGCACUUUCAUGUGAUCGAAAUAAGCUUCUCAUGUUUUGACAACUCACAAAAACUGCUUUUGUAGUGAAGUACAAAGAAGUUGCAUUUUCACUCAUGAGGUCAUAAAACCAAGCCUCUUUAAUUAACGUUGACUUCGAUCUUGUAUAAUUUAGAUCUUCGAGUGAAGAGAAAGAAGGUCGUCCUACAGUAACCUUGAAUGCAAUUUCUGAAAAUUUCUCUCCAGAUUGGAAAACUCUGAAAUCGUCUAGAUCACGGAAGUUGCAUUCCAAAGUUUCCAAACCAUAUAAUCUGGAAACUUCAUCUCCUCUAACUGAGAGAACAACUUCAUAUUUCUGAUGAAGCUUGAGGAACUUUAAUUUUAAGAGUUGGGGUAAAAUACCCGACCGUAAAACACGCACCCCGCGCUUCCAUCAAGAUUAAGAUACCUGAGAUCCUCCAGCCUUUCCAUUCCCUCGGGCAAAUCUUCAAGUCCAGUGUAACUGAGAUCCAACUUCUCCAAUGCCUUAAGCUUUGCUAAUGAUGGUACAUAACUCAGCUUUGCACACCAUCCCAGCAACAAUGCAGUGAGACUCGUCAGAUGAGAAAUAGAAUCCGGCAACUUCUCUAUAUCUGUGUCGGAAAGAUCAAGAACCUUGAGUCCGAUAAGGUGUUGGAAAAAAGAAUCCUCAACCAAAUUCAAUUUGUAGUUUCUGCAUAACAAUAAUGUUGAGAGACGGGGGCACAUUGGUGAAAAGCCUUUUGGAAUAUUCUCGAUUCUAUUUUCCAUUAGUGAAACUCUU